rnacentral:lncRNA from 1 species
ACCCCAACUCCCCUCCACCGCCAUCACCGCCGGUACCUGUUCAUUCUCCCCCUCCCCCUCUUCAUACAACCCCAUCGCCGCUUCCUCUUCCUUGCAUUCAACCUCCUCCACCAAAUGUUCAAUAUCCAGAACCGCCACCCUCUCCUUCACCAACCCCGUCAUCUCCAAUUCACUACAAUACCCCACCACCGCCGGUCCAUUACCAAGCUCCUCCCUCACCUUCACCGCCCGUCCACAUAUAUCCGCCGCCAUCUCCAACGCCCCCUCCUCCAAUAGUUUACGAAAACCCACCACCGCCCGUUGUCUACCAAAGCCCACCGCCGCCUCCAACUCCAGUAUACGGAGGCCCACUGCCACCAAUCUACGGAGUUCCGUACGCCUCUCCUCCUCCACCACCCUUCUAUUAGUUAUUUCAUCUUUCCGGCCGAUACCCACAAAAAUUUUCUUGAGCUUUAAUUUCUGGUCAAUCAAUUCUUCUCCUACUGGAUCUUCCUUUGGGCAAUUCUCAUCGUACACGGAGAAAGAAUAAACAAAGAAAAAUUCCCUAGAAUGUUGAAGAAAAAGAGCAACAAAAAAAAAAAAAAAAAAAAAAACAGAGCAAGGAAGUAAAAUCUUUGCCUUCUUUAUUACUUUUUUCAUUGGCAUGAAUUUUCUUUUAGUCUCUGCAAUAUAAAUUAGUAGAAUUGGCAGGUGAAUUAUAAGCUUAUUAUGUUGUAAUGUAUAGGGAUUGAAGCUCCAUAAUUCAACAAAAGCUGCAGUUGUUUGUACUGCUCUUUGGUUCUUGAGUUGUAUUAUUAAUAUUAUUAUUAAUUGUAUUUUCAUAAUAUUUAGUAAUUUGCAUAAAUUUGUUUUUUGUUUUUAUAGUAAUUUUGAAGUCAAAGGAGAGUCCAAAACGAGUCAAAUCUGAAUUUAGGAGAUGAUAAUAUUACUUAGAAGAAGACAGAAUCUUGUGAAGAGGCAAAAGGUAACGUGAUCGGCGGACAUUCAGCUAUGCCAAAUCGGGGAAAUUAAUUAAUAAAUCCAAACAUGAUUUUAAUAUUGGAAAAUAAAUGGCUGAAUCUAGGACCCAAGUAAACAUGAACUGAAUCUGAAUGGCCCAUCUCAAUUUCACCUAACGCUUAUACUUGUAAUUUUGAAUUACAUUUUUAAACAUAUGUAUAUAGUUUCAAACAUUUUGGCUUCUUUUUUAACAUUUUAUUGCUUCCUCGACACUUGGAAAUAUCCUCCUUACUGCACAACUCACUCUCAUUUUAGGAUUUAUUUUCAUUAUAUAUUACUUUUAAACUAAUCUCCAUCCAUUGUAUUCAUUCUAUCCUAUACAAUUUAUUCUUUUUAAUCCAUUUCAACAAUUCAAAUUAAACCAAAAUAAGUUUGAUUCUUAUUUUAUCUUUUUUUGAGCAAACAAGAAAACCUUACGAACCUACAAAUUGAACCUACAAAUUGAAGCUCCAAUGAUGUGAGAUUAAUUAAUUAAACUCUUUAAUUAAAUUAAUCACUAUUCAUUAACUCUCAGUCAUUCCACUAAAGACCAAUAGUUGUACUCUUCUUACUGUAGAUUUAUUUUUAUGUUCAUUAGAUACAACCAAUCAACAGUGCAAUGACCCUUCACAAACUGCUUGUAAGUACAGCUACGCCAAAGUUUAUAAUUUUUCCCCUGUAGUUACAUCUAACUCCUUAAGUACUACCGAUUCCUCUAAUGAACAAUAAUUAUAGUUCCACUAUAACUGAACUCCUCUUGGGUCAAGAGAGGGUGUGAUGCCACGUUGUUCAAGCCCUAGAUCAGCCCUUAAGAGAGCAAUUUCUCUAUUUACUCUAUCUAUAAAAAAAUGAGUGAAUUCCUUUUUGUGUAGUUAUGUUUUUAACUCCCUAAUCAGAUGAAUCUCGAAAAUGGUAGGCCUUUUGAGUCGGUGACAUAGGUCACUCUCAUCCAUGCAAAUCAAAAUUCAGAAUGCAAAUCAAACUUCAUAGGCAGGAGUUCACAACUCACUCAGAAUUCAGGUCAAGUCACCUAUGGUCAUAUUGGUUAAAUGUAGUCUUAACUGAUAAUGGUGUUAAUAAGAGAGACUAUUCAUAUCAUGGUCCGAUCUUAUACAAACUCUUUGUAUAGUAUACCCCUGCUUUAAUAUCUCGACAUGAAUGAUUAUGAUCAAAUCAUCUGUAGCACUUUAGAACAAUUGUAACAAUUACAAAGCAUGUUGUAUUGGUAGUGUCAUCAAGAUAAGGUAUCUAAUCUUAUCCACCUACUACAAACCAGUUAGGUUAUCAGUUAAACAUGAUCCACUUGUAUGUCUCCACAUACAUGGUUAGGUUACAAAAGAUAACCUUGGAUGUUAAUUUAUUAGUUUGGUGGGUUAAUGCAACUAAGUGUCAAAUAAAAUAAAACACUUUAUUUUAUUAGAUAAAUAAAAUGUUUGUAUAAUAUAUACAAUUACAAACUACAAGACCACAAGAUUUAGGGCAUCAACCCCAACACUUAGGAUGUUAGUUUAUUGGAUUUGGGUUACUAAGACAAAACUAAUAAUAUAAUCAAUAACAAUUAUUACAAUAGUAACACUUUAUUAACGGCGAUCAAUGGAUAAUAUUUACAAUUUAUGAGUUUUAAGUUAUAAAUUUCAACACAAGCAUCACAUGAUAAUCCAUUAAAUUGAAGAAUCUUAUGGUUCUUCAAUGGAUGUCCAUGUGAAUUUUCAAUAAUUUUUCUCAUCAUUAUGUAUCCUGGACGACUCAAUCAAUUAUGUCAAAUUGCAAAUAUGUCUCGAUUCAUGAACUUUAGGUUCAUUAUUGCAUAUGUUUCAAUUACUCGUAUAUGAGUGUAAUAUAAUAUAGAAGAUAAAGCAGACAAUAUUUCUAAUAUACGUUUUUCAUUUGAGAUAAUAGAUAUAAUAUAUAAAGAUAUUCUAUCACGUUCUUUCUAUCAUUCUCAAAAUGAUAACGAUUGCAACAUAUAUCUUUGAAACUCAAUAGAUUUCUUUUUGAUUGACUAGAGAAUAAUACAUUAUCAAUUGUAAAUUUUGUUUCUCUAGGUAAAAUAAUAUUUGCUUUUCCAAUCCCUUCAAUCAAGUUUGCAGAACUUGAUAUUGUAUUGACUUUUGCUUCCAACAUUGUUAGUUUGGAAAAUGUUUUUUAUUUGUAAGUAUUUUAUGUGUGGUUGCCCGGUCUACCGGACAUAGAUCUUCUUUGUUCAUUUCUGAAUUACUAAACGUAUGAAAAUGAUUCAUGUUUCUUCAUUUAAAAGAAAAUAAAAUUACAAUAAGUAAAAUAUACUUGUAUAUUACUAAAUACAAAAUAGAAAGAAAGAUAACAAAACAACAAUAUUAUUCUAGAUAUUUUCAAAAUUAAAAGAAACAUUCGUUGUUCUACCAAUUGUGUCGAUUUUCUCUUCAAGAGUUUCAAAGAAAUCUGUCACAUCCAAAAUAGUCAUGUUGGAUGGAUCAGUUAUAUCAUUAUCUUGAUAGGCACAAUUGGCUUUUACAUUUUCUCCUUUUUUCUUCUCUAUGGAAGCUUGAUAUAGGUUAACUAAGUGUUUCAAUGUACGACAAACACGUGACCAAUGUCCAGUCAUUCCACAUCAGUAGCAUAUUUCUUCAUCAUUUUAUUUUUAUUUUUGUGGAACUUUUCUUUUAUAAUCUCGUUUUGUGUGGUUCUUUUGGAAUUUGGAUUAUAAGAACGACCACCACGAAAAUAAUAAUUAUUUAUUCCUCUUCUACGGUCUCUAUCUUGACCAUGACCACGACCAUGAUUAAAAUUCACAACAUUAGCUUUAGGGAAUGGUGUUGUUCCAGUUGGUCAGGAUUCAUGAUUUUUCAUCAACAUCUCGUUAUUUUGUUCGGCAACAAGAAGACAUGAGAUGAGUUCAAAAUAUUUAUCUUUCUCUUGAUAUUGCUGCUGCAGGAACAUAUUUGGGAUAUGAAAAGUAGAAAAUAUCUUUUCCAACAUUUCCAUAUCAGUAAUUUUUUCUCCACAUAACAACAAUUUUUAACUGAUUCUGAAUAAUUCAGAAUUAUAAUCACUUAUUGAUUUAAAAAUCUUGUAGCCUCAAAUGUAUCCAAUCAUAACAAGCUUGAGGAAGAUGAACUAAUUUUAAAUGACCAUACCUUUCUUUCAAUUUAUUCCACAAUGUAUGAUGAUUUUUCAUUGUUAAAUUUUCUGACAUUAAAUCCUGAUGAAUGUGAUGACGAAAGAAAAUCAUGACUUUCGCUUUCUCUUGACUAGUCGUUGCAUUUCCUUCUUCAAUUGUAUUUCUGAGAUUCAUGGCGUCUAGAUGCAUUUCAACAUCAAGAACCCAUGACAAGUAAUUGCUACCAUUAAUGUGAAGAGCCGUAAAUUCUAGUUUUGUAAGAUUUGCCAUGGUAAUUCUAUAAUAGAAUGUUAUAGUUAUACUAAGAAUUUAAUAUAUAUUAAAUAUGCAAAAUAAUAUUUAUUUUAUUGAUUAUAACAAGUAGGAAAAAAUGACAUACUGUUAGGACCAACCUUUGACAGAGGAGACGGUCAGAACUCCUGCUGAUAACGUGUUGUGAAAACGGGGCACAAUCAAAAUACGAAAAUCGAGAAAAUAUAAUAUUAAAACAAUAAUAUAAUAAAGUACAAUAAUAUAAUAAAGUACAAUAAAUAAAUAAAUAAAAUUAGAAAAAUUGAAAUUUCUUCGCUUUCUCCUUCUUUUAUGGAAUUCUCGCCAAUAUGGAUACAACUUACAACUCCACUAAAUGUCACUAUUUAUAGGCAAUUUGACAAAUAGGAUGUGACAUUAGAUGACCACUAAGAUAUCAUGUUUGUUUGACACAUGGUGUAUACUAAGUAUCUACAAUCAUAAGACACAUGACAUGGUGAGAUAAUCAAAAUCUAUAUAUCCUUAGUAUUUAUAAUAUAUAUAUAUUUUUUUUCUCGUGCACAAAGCAAUACUUCUAACCAAAAAGAUCUUAUCCCUCCUUACUUUCGAGUUUCAAUCAUGGCCCUUGUCAUUGCUAGUUUUCUAUACUAAACCAAUUUAAUCCACACCACUUGGUCUUUUCCUAGAAAUUUGCCUCCAUCUCCAGUCUCUAUCAUUCUUUUUGAGUUCUUCAUCUUGAAAUAUGACUUACUAAUUAAUGCAUUCCAUUUUUGUAUCUCUCCAACAACCUGAACUUAAAAUAUAGUUUUAAUAAUUGAAUUGUAUAUUUAUAAAUAAAGGAUCCUUUUUUGUACCCAAGCCCUUUGUGUGAAUUUAAUAUACACCCAUGUGCAUUUUCCCUCUUAAUUUUAAGCACAUCUUAUAUUUAUUGUCCUCGUGUUACAUUUCAUAUUUAUCAUAAUCUAGAGACUUAGAGGAGAUGAGUAUAAUGGAUUUUUGAUACCACAAUUUUCACAUAAUUAGGAAAUUGUUAUCAAUUAAGUUUUUGAUUAUUCAUUGUGAUUGUAUGGACAUAUAUGUUAAAAAGUUUGGUAGUAAUUGAAUUGAAUUGAUUUCCACUUGGAGAGUUUUGUAAUUAAAUUUAGAAUCAAUCUCGUCUUGGCACUUAACUUGUUGGAUAGGUUUGUAGGAUGAAAGGGCAAUGAAGGAAAAGAAUAAAAGGGAUGGGCCAUUGAAGUUGGGCUUGGAUACUCACAUUGCUUGUUUCAGUCCUCCUUAUCGUUCUCCCUUCUUCCACUGCCUUCUAUCAUCCUCUUAAUUUAAAUUUUCAGCUAACUUCUCUAAACUUUGCCAUUAUUUUUCUCUUUUAAAUUUCUUUCUUUUUUUUUGUUAAGGUUGUACAUAGACUAUUUUGAGUAGGAAGUCUUAGAAAAGUUGAAAAAGAUAAGUACUUUCUUGAAAUUCUAGAAGAUAUUUACUCAAAUAAUAGUCUUGAAACAUUUAUAAAAGGUUGUAGAUACUGUUAAAACUUUUGAAAGGAAAAAAAACGUACUUUGUAAACAAAAGACAAAAUUUAGGAGUACUUUUAUACAUUUAACCAAAAACGUACUUUUUAGACAAAAGACAAAACUUAGGAGUACUUUUAUACAUUUAACCAAAAACUUUAGUAGAUUGAAAAAAGUUUGAAUGGAUAAAGAUUCACUUGACCUCCAAAUAUACCGUCGUAAAUUUGAAAAAGAAGAUAUACCUAUAAAACAAAAUAGAAGACCGAUGUAGGGUCGGCCUUGGUUGAGGUUAAGCAUGCUAGCUCCCUCUUUUCUAGGUCAUUUUGGUCCUAAUGUAAUCACAUCCAGCCAAUAUUUUGUUGUUUUCGGUUGAUGUCAAUUAUCUUUGGUUCAAAAUAGUCCAUAAAAGUUCAUGAAUAAAAUGUCUUAUAUGCCUCCAAAAUUUAAAUUUCAUUUACCAGUUUUUUUUUUAAAAAUUAUUUGUUUAAUUAAAUAUAAGAUUGAAUUUAUGUUUAAAGGAAUUUAUGCUUACCAUUUUUUAAAAAGUAGAUUAAUGAAUUUUAGAAAAUAUCUAAUAUAACUAAUGACAUAUUACUCUAUUAAACACAAUAUUAAAAAUUAAUAAAUCAUUUUAUGUAUAAAUUUAUUUGACAUAAAAUGAUAUGUGAAAACUUAAUACACAGCAACAAGGUAAGUUUAAGUUCGUACCUUUCAAUUUGUGGAUUAUAUAAAAUACAAUUAAUUUGUGGAUAUAAAAUACAAGUUUUAAAAUGAUGUGUUAUAUGAUCACUAAUAUACUAAUAGAAGAGAGAAAAAAACGAAAAUAAUUAUCGGAUUCAAACCUAUGCCUAUUAGAGAGGAUUGAAACACAUAUUACCACAUAGUCAAUUGGACACUAUCAUAUACUAAUAUAAAACUCCUUAAAGUUGAUGAGACUCCUUCCAUUUUGAACUUUGAGCAUUUAAGUCCAUCAUGAAUGUACUUUAAAUGAUCAUUUUUUUAGUAUUAUUUUAGUACACGUGAAGAUUGAAGAUUUGAUUCUAGGUCUGUUGAUCUCAAUAUUGAAAGCAAUUAAGUAUUAAUUAACUUUUUAUCUCAUCUGUUUCUUUUUUUUGUUUGUAAAGAGGAGGAAAAUGAUAUCAAUAACAUACUAUAAUGGGAUAGUAAUUAAAUAUGACCUAAAAAUGGUAAGGAUUGGUUAAUAGGCUUUUAUUUAUGGCAACACCAAAAGAAAAAGAACCUAACCCGUAUCCCUCUUCUUUAAGUUUACUUUGAUGAAAAACUUCCAUGGAAUUAAGACAUUCAUUCAGUAAGUAAACCCAUUCCCUUACCUAACAAAUUUAUUGUAAUAAUAUAUAUAUAUAUAUAUUUUAUCAUUUUUUAAUUAAAGAGAAUUAUUAUUUAAAAAAUUUAUUGGUGUUAAUUUAGUAGCUGGCAGCUGAGGCUGGGGGCAAGCCCAGCAAUGCCAACUCAGAGUUGGUGCAUAUCCUACUAAUUAUUCAACCAUAUCUAUUUUAUAAUUUCUAACACCUGUCGAAUUCCUAUUUUCAAUACUACUGUCCUAAAUUAUUAUUGUCUGACUUACAUCUACCAAACCUAAAUUACUUCACUCCCUAAUAAAUUCUUUUUGUUCGUACUAAAAAUUUUCACCUCUUACGCCUCAAAUGUAUUUGUUUGAGUUAAAUUUUUAUUAUCUAACGAACUAAAUUAUGAAAUAUUUAAUUGUAGAUCAACAGUGAAAACUUUAGUAUUUAUUAUUAUUAUUGCUGUUGUUGGUGUAGAAAGGGUAUUUUUGGGAAAUUUGUAUUGUGUUGGAGUAUAUGGGCCAGGUUGAUUAUAUAUUUGGGCCUUGCCCUGCGACAACAUUCUGACUUAACGCUCCGCAUCCAGCGGAAUACAGGCCUCCAUCACAUGUGAAGUUGCACUCAAUGGCCACAAGGGGUGCGUUUUCUUUCAACCACUUCUAUUUUUAGAUUUUCAUAAACAAUGUCUAUAUUGUGGUGCCUAACGAAUCACUUUAUUUUCCAAUUUCCCAAACCACUCAUAUAUGCAUUAUACAAAUUAUUGUGUUACCAAAAGUUAUGAAGCAAUGUUUAGUCGAUUUUGUACCAGACUGUAACUGUUGUUAAUGAUAUUUUAUGUUACAGUAAUUAACACUAUCAUAAAGAAUAGCAUACCUGAAAUUUUAUAAGAAAAAUAGAAAGCAUGCUCUCAAAUAUGCCCUCAGUUGGUUUUCAGUUCAAUAUUUAUGCAAUUUUUUUUUGUUUGCAUAAAUAUUGAUUUUCUCCUUCACUAUCUCUCCAACAUGUUUUGAUUUUUUCCUUACAAAACCAAUCUAAUCUUUUUCCAGUAGAUUUUUUAUCAAAUCUUUAAUCCCUUUCUAAUUUUCAUUAUCAUUUGUAUUUCAACUUUUUCUUUUGUAACCUUGGUUGGAUUUCUCAAACAACUCCUCCACUGCUACAACAAUAGGUCGAUUUCCAACUUGAUCUUCAACUUACAUUGAAGAUUCUGUUGAUGCAAAGAUGGAGGGCUCAACUUAAAAUUGACCAAGAAUUUAAGUUGUCAAGUCUUACUCUUUCUUGAGUGAUUCUUCUCAAACAAUUUUGAAAGAGCAAGGACGAGGUUUUCCAAAGAGAUUUUUUGAUGAAGUUUCAUACAUAUUUAGUAGAGAUGUAUCAUGGAGCACCAUGACACAUCAACUAUUUCUCUAGCCUAUGAGGUCUCCACAAUUUCACUACAGAUAUAUUUACACCAAAGAACUUUCACAAUACCCUCAAUGCCAAUCUUCAAUUAUAGUGUAACCAAUCUUUUCCCCUUGUUUUUUCUCCAAGAUAUCUUCCAGUUUUAAAUGAUAAAAUCAGAUGCAUUUUUUUUUUCAAAUAUAAAAAUAAAAUCGUAUCUUUUUUUGCUUCUUAAAAAUCGUAUCUUUCUUUCAAUCAAAUAAUCAUUUUAUUUAUUUAUUUCAAUCUUCAUGUCUUGUUUCUAUUUUUUAAUGCUUUUUUUUUUUUUUAAUAUGGUUGCAAAAGAAUUCUUAGAAAAUACUCUAUCGAUGGUUACAAAAUUAAAAUUUUCUAGCAGGUGUUUUUAUCAGUCGAUGAAUUUUUGCCAUUUUGUUGAUUUUGUAACAAUUCCUUUCUCCAACUUUUGUAGCAAAUUCCACAUCUUGUAGAGGUCAAUCUGAGGUGUGACAAAGUAAAACAAGAUAUAAUUAAUUUUCUUUUUAGGUUAAUAAAUCUUAAUUUAGAAGAUUCACACUAUAAUAAUUUUUUUUUCUCCAAACAAUGUUAAUUUGCAAUGAACAAUUUCUUUAGGUUUGAAGUUCAAAGGUGGUUUGCAUGUUUUAAGCUUAGAAGAAUAGGUCAAAGGUUUAUUCUAAGUAUUUAGAUCACAAUUUAUAUUUUUUCUUUUAUGUUUUUCAAAGGUUUGAAAAGUAUCUUAGUUUUUAGGAAGGUGAGUCAACUUUUAUUUUCUUUAAAUAAAAUAUAUUUUAAAUAUUUAAAAAAAAACAGUAUAUUUUUAGGGGGAAAUUUUUAAAAAUGGUAAAUUUUAGAAAAUACUUACAACUUAUAACAAAUUCUAUCACGAAUAGUGACUGAUAUGCUAUAGUGAUAGAAAACUAUCCGUGAUAGAAUCCAAAAUUUUACUAUAGUUUGUAAAUAUUUUAAUUUAUUUUGUUAUUUUUAAAAAUGUCAUUUUUUUAUAAUUUUAUAAUUAGUAAUUAAUUAAAGGUUAAUUUUCAUAAAUAUAACAAGUUGAAAAAAUAUUUUCGAUAAUUCUUUUAAUAUUUUAAGUUUGUCCUUCAUUUUCAUCGUAUUUUUUCUCUUUCUCGGUGAAUUUUUCCUCUUUCUAUUGUUUGUUUCCCUUCUUUUUUUUCUUUCCAUUGUCUUUUUCUUUUCUUCUGCCGUUUUUUUUCAAACUGUUAUUUGGUUCAAGAUCACGCCAAAUAUAAAAUAUUUAUUUUAAGUAUUUUUUUUCAAACUGUUAUUUGGUUGUUCCAAAUAUAAAAGAUUGUGAAGCCAAAUCUAAACAAUCAUGUACCAAAAUAACCAAAUCUAAAUGAUCCUACAAAGAAUCUUAAAAGAAUUGUUUAGAUUUGGGUAGAAAAAUCUAAAUGAUCAAACAUAAAUGAUCGUGUUUCAAAUAUAAAUAAUCGUGUAUCAAAUCUAAACGAUCAUUUUUCAAAUAUAAACGAUUAUUUUUCAAAUAUAAACGAGUGUACAAAAUCUUGAAAAAAAUCAUUGAGAUUUAAUCAUCCAAAUUUAAACGAUCAAUGUAAACACAAUCGUGUACCAAAAUAUUAUGAAACAAAUCAUUUAGAUUUGGCUUCUAAAUGAUCAUGUAGGAAAGAAUACCUAAAUCUAAUCGAUCGUUUCUCAAAUAUAUUAUGCAUGUUGGAUGCUAAUUAAUCAGGGCAUUUUUGGAAUUUUUCAUUUUGGGACUGUGGUUUUUUCCACUUUUGAAAUUGUUUUAUACGGUGUAGAUAUUUUACUGCUUUGUUAUAUUUUUUAAAAGACCCAUUAAUUAAAUUCAAAUUAGUUUUGCUAUUUCAUCGAAUCUAAAUACAUCUUCGUAUUUUUCAAAAUGAAAGUUUGAAAAAAGCUAUUUAUUUUGUUAGUCGUUUUUCACUAAGCUAUUUAUUUUGUUAGUCGUUUUUCAUUUUAUAGAGUUUCAAAGGUUAUUCAACUAGCAAAAUUGUGCAGCUUUAGUUGGAAGACCAGAAUACCUAAUUAAGCAUGAGCCAAGUCCCAAAUUGAUUUGCCCAACCUCGACUUCAACCAAAGAUGAGGUUAAGGAAAACUUUCUCCAUUUGGUGAAUGUAGCGUACUACAAUCUAUUUGAGCCUUAAGAAUAAGAUGGUUGAAAUGCCCAAACUAUACCCUUCUUACUCAAGGAUGAAUAUGAGGUUAAACCUCUAAAUUUGAUGAACAUAACAUACUAAAUGCAUGUCCCAUUUGGCUCGAGAGUUAACCUAAUAUGACUAAAAAACUCUGAUAUAGAUGUCAAGGUUAAGAUUUCACUAUGAAUACAUCAUUAUAUGUUCAGAAGAAGUAAAUCCAUUUUAAUACGCAAGCUCUUUAUUUGCUACACAGUUACACGUUUUUACUUAAGCUGUCACACCCCACCCCAAACACUUACUUGCUUGGUCUGAGAUAUGGCGUGAAGCCAAUCAAUAUCACUCCCUUCAAGAAUGACACCCACUAACUCUUUAACUUAAACCUUUAAACAAUAAACAACAUAAGAAGCUAACACAUAAAUUCUAAACAUAACUGGGUAAAUACCUUUUUUUAAAACAAACUUUAUACACGUUUUUACAGACAAAAUGUAACCUUAUUUACAUAAAAUAGAAUCCAACAACAACCUUUCCAAAAACCUAAAUCUGAUACCACAAAAGACUAACUUAACAUAAGUACAAAUCAACAUGAUACAUACGAUAUUUAAACAAAAUCCUUUAGUAGACAGAUAACGGCGAUUCAUGCACUGAGCACACGGUCUCUACCUGGAAAGUGGAAAAACAUUUUGAAGAAUGUGAACUAAAUAAGCUCAAUGAGUGAUAGUUUCUAAAUAACUUUUCAAAACUUAAAAUCACAAAAACUUUGGAACAGUAAACGAUAAAUCAUAACAUGAAAACUUCAACCUCAAAUCAUUUAGGAAACAGUAACAUAAAGUUUUAUUUUUCCUACGCGAAAUCCAAGUAUUUACUCUUGGAAGGUGGUAGAGAUUACUCAAUACCAAAUCCAAACCUCAGAGAUGAGCAUCUCCAAUCCCCGUUCCUGGGAGAUAGGCUUCUCUAGCUCCAAUCCUAGAGAUAACUAUCCUUGCCUCAAAUUUCUUGGCACCCAUAAUCUUGCCCCGUUAAGGGUUAUUUUGGGACAUCUUGGUUCCGAGAAAGCAUUUAUAAAAUCCUAAACUUUAAAUCCUUUUGAAAUAAGAAAUUUUUAACUCAUUUUCAGUAAACUUUAAACAUUCCACAAUAAUCAAUAUUCUUGAAUAAAUACUUUAAACAAUAUCAUGCUUGAAAAAAUAUUCAUAAAACAUCUAAAAAAUUUAAUACAAAUCAUUCAUAAUUCAUAACUGAAAAAUAUGCUUGAAAUCACUUUAAUUAAAUCAUUUUUCCACUCACAAAUACAAGUUCAAAUCCUUGGUCUAUAAAUCUGUCCGAUCUCUUCUUGAUAUGAAAUAAUGGUAAAAUAAUCCGGUUGACUUUUCUUAACCAUGAAAAUAAAGGUAAAAUAAUCCAGUUAACUUUUCUUCUUGACCUAAAAUAAUGGUAAAAUAAAUUCCAAAAACAAUAAAAAAACUGACCAAAAUGCCUCAUGCACUAUCUGGUGCGCAUGGGUUAGUCAGCAGAGCCUUGGCCGCCCGCGCUGAGCUGCCCACAUGCUAACCUCACAAGAGGCUUGCUGCACGCCUCACCCUGGCCAUAUGCUUGGUGUCCCGUGCAACCCUCCUCAUGCACAAGACUUGCUUCGAGCGCCUUGUGCACAGAGUAUGUGUCCAAUUUAUGAUUUUACCCUCACUAACCUCUUUGAUCACCAAAACGCCUGCCCAUCUUGCCUAGCUUACCUUGUCACUCAACCAACCACCACUUGCCCAUAAACUCAUUUCUCAUUUAGAAACAUAACCCAAUUUUGAAAAAUCAUAACUAAAAAUCUACAAUGCUUUUGAGGACACUUCCUUGUAUAAAAAUGCUUAAAAAAUGUCCUAACUUUCUUACCUUAAAAUUGCAGCUUCAUAUUCCAAAAGAUGAGCUCUGUAGUCCUUUGGAAGUCCACUUUGCAUAGAUUCACCUAAAAAAUGUCCUUCCUCACUUUCUUCAACUCAAAAUCAACACUCCCUUGCUAAAACACAUCUAACAACCCUAUUCUAGAAACUAGACUCAUUUUUUUUUUUUUUUUUUUUAUCUUUUGAGAGUAAUUUCAAUCAAACUGUACGAGUGUUGAGAGAAAUGUUCAUCUAAAGUGAUCUAUAUAUACUGAACCCUACAUGAACCUUUAUUGACACCUCCUACUAGUCGAAAUCUAAAUUAAGCAUGCAAGAAUAUUUAUAAAGCACUUCACCGACCCCACCUCUUCAUCAUCUCGUCCAAUCAAAAUGCCAAAUGUCCAAUGAAAAGUCCAAACGCCUAGUGUCAACGCAAUGCUAACCUCCAAGACCUUCUUGCGUACCAAGCUCCUCACCCAACUUAAACUAUCGGCUUUCUUGCCUAACUUCUAAAGACUCUCAAACAACCUCUAAGGACAACAUUCCUUGCUUAGCCAAAUAUACUUAGCCGCCCAAGACACUCAUUUAGAGGUUCUUCUCACCUAAUGCACAAGCCUUGGCCGCCCAAUCUUAAAUGCUUAUUAACCUCUUUAGAAGUUAUUUCCUUUUCCUUGGCCACCCAUUAAACAAGAAAGAUAACCUUUAAAUGUCUAAUGACACUCAUUUAGAGGUUAUUUUUAUCCAAUUUGACCGCCUACAUAACACCAAAAUAACUUAUAAACACAUUGCUCUUAAGCCUCAACACUUAGCUUAAUUUUUCCUCUUUUCCAAUAACCAUGACACACCUUUCAUGACAUUUUUUAUCCCUAAUUCCCUUCAACAAAACUUCUAAUCACCUCAAACGACUUAAGUUUUCUUCCGAAGUUCUAGGUUUAAUUAAGCUUUGAAAUUCAUGUGGGCAAGCACCAUUUUGGUGUGCAAAUCUUUACAUCUUACGGGCCACAUUUUUUCAUAAAUUACAAAUUUAUUAUUUUUGUUACAUGAAGGUUAUUUGCAUUUUUUCUUGUAUUGUUUGUGAAUUCAAAUUCGAACUUAGAGUUGAUGCAUGAUUAAUUCUAUGUGGUAAUUAAGUCAUUUGUUAAGAUCAUUGUAUGCGAAAUACACCUUAUGUGCCUUUUUAUUGCGUAUACUAAAUCCUCGUUAAGAACAAGUUUUUAUACUGCUUGGCCAAGUAUAAGUGAAACAAUAAGUUUUCUUAGAUGAUCCAAGAUUGAAUACAGAGAAUUGAUAUCAAAGUUUAGUUCUAGAGUCUACUUUGUCAAUUAGGCGGCAUAAACGAAUGAACAAAUGUAAAGAAUGUUAAACUAUAACUACUUAUUUACACCUAGAGAUUUUCUGCAAAGAAGAUUAAAUUAUGGUAAGAUGGAGAUGUGAACUAACUUGCAUACAAGAAUGAGUGAAGGAAAUCCAUGCAUUGUAAGAUGCUUAAAUAAUGCGAAAGCCUUAACGUGACAUAUUGUCCUUAACGAGAUUAUGAUUAAGACAUGCUCCUCUCAGAGUCAUUGAAUGCCACACAUGGUCACCUGUUGGGAUCCAUAUGACUAAUCUUACUUCAGUGCAACAUGUCUAGAUGCAUUUUACUUAUAAAACUUAUAGAGUUUCGUGUUUAAGGACGACAACCUCUUGAUGCCUAUUGUCCACACUUGUUCACCUUUCAAGAUAAAAAUGAUAGAAGUUAUCUCGCCAAGGUCGAGAAAACUCUUCCUUGCAAGUGUUAGCUAUGUCCUUACUAUUUAUCCUCUUGGGCAGUUGGCGACAUACACUGACCAAGUGAUGAAUGUAGCUCGACUAAUGCGAUAAGUAUUAUAAACAAAACUUCUUGUUAAAAACUUUCUACAAACAACACAAUGAUAGAUGGAAAGUAAAGAAGUGAUAGAUUGAAAAUGAUAUAAACAGGUAAUAUAUCAAAGAAUGUUGGCCUUCAACUAGUGUACAAUAUGAACAAUGUAUAUUACACAAAGAAUACAAAAAUGGACAGAGCAACGAAUGAAAAAUAGCACAAGCUAGGGGAAAAAUGAAAGACGAAUUCUUCCUUACUCAAGACUCUAAGCUCUUAAGUUUUGUGGACCAUCAACAAAACUAAGGGAACUUUGCCCAUCAAAUAAAUAAAAAGUUCAUAUUUUUUUUACGUUUUUUUGUAUUUCUUCAACACAAUAAGGGAACUUUUUAUUACGUACAUGACUGUCAAGAUAAACGUUGUAUCAAGAAAAAUAAUUUUUUUUAUGGUUCUUUUCCAUAACCAUCAAGAAAUCAAAAUUUGUGUGAGUCAUGAAAGACCAAAUUUGCAGUAGUGCUCCAAGAACUCCUCAACAAAACGGUGUGGUUGAAAGGAAAAAUCGUACUUUGCAAGAAUUUGUUAGAUCAAUGUUGAAUGAGUAUGGUUUACCUAAAUAUUUUUGGGUAGAAGCCGUUAACACCGCUUGCUAUGUUUCAAAUAGAGUUUUAGUUAGACUCUCUUUAGAUAAAACUCUUUAUGAACUUUGACAUGGAAAAAUUCCAAAUAUUGGGUAUUUCAAAAAUUUUGGUUGUAAAUGUUUUGUUUUGAAUAACAAAGAAAAAAUUGGAAAAUUUGAUUUUAAGAGGGAUGUUGGUAUUUUCCUAGGAUAUUCCUCUACUAGUAAAGCCUAUAGAUUUUUCAAUAAGAAAAAUUUAGUUAUUGAGGAAUCUAUGCAUGCUGUAUUUGAUGAAUCUUGGAAUAAUAUUUCUAAAGAAUCUGUUUGUAUAGUGAUGAUUUAGAAAAGGAUUUUGGAGAUUUACUUGUUAGUGACUAAGACAAAGAAAUUGUUCCAGGUAUGCAAGAUGUGAACAUCAUAGAAAAGAAAGAAGAUGGUUAUUCAUCCUUGCCUAAAGAGUGGAGAUAUGCUCCAUCCCAUCCCAAAAAUUUAAUUCUUAGCAAUCCCAAACAAUGUGUCAAAACUCGUUCUUCUCUUAAUUUAUUUAGUAAUCUUGAUUUUGUGUCUCAAAUUGAACCUAUAAGUUUUAAAGAUGCCGAAUGUGAUGAGUUUUGAAUUAAAUCAAUUUGAAAGGAACAAAGUUUGGGAAUUAGUCCCUAGGCCUUCUAAUGCAUCUAUAAUUGGAACUAAAUAGAUUUUUAGAAAUAAGAGGGAUGGAAAUGGAAAUAUCAUUAGAAAUAAAGCUAGACAGAGUAGCUCAAGGUUAUUGUCAAGAAGAAGGUAUAGAUUAUGAAGAAACUUUUGCACCGGUUGCUAGAUUAGAAGCUAUUAUAAUGUUGCUUGCUUUUGCUUCUUAUAAAAAUUCAUUUUAUAUCAAAUGGAUGUAAAAAGUGCUUUUUUAAAUGGUUAUAUUGUGGAGAAAGUUUACGUAGAACAACCUCUGGGCUUUGAAUGUUUUUGAUUUACCUAAUCAUGUUAAUAAGUUGAAAAAGGCUCUUUAUGACUUAAAACAAGCUUCAAGAGUUUGGUAUGAUAGACUUAGCAAUUUUUUUUACUUGAGAAUGACCUUAAGAUGGGAAAAUUGAUAAUAUUCUCUUUAUUAAAGUUAAAAAUAAUGACAUGCUUAUAGUGCAAAUUUAUGUGGAUGAUAUUAAAUUUGGUUCUACUAAUUCAUCUUUGUGUGAAGAAUUUUUCAAGUGUAUGCAUAAUGAGUUUGAGAUGAGUAUGAUGGGAGAACUUAGUUUCUUCCUUGGUGUUCAAAUCAAACAACUCAAGGAUGACAUCUUCAUAAGUCAAGAAAAAUACACAAGGGAUUUGCUCAAGAAAUUCAAAUUAAAUGAAGGUAAAGUUGCAUAAACUCCUAUGAGCACUACCACUGAGCUUGACUAAGAUGAAAAAAGUAAGUGUGUGGAUAUAAAGACUUAUCGAGGUAUGAUCAGAUCUUUACUUUAUUUGACUGCUAAUAGACCCGAUGUCAUGUUUAGUGUAUGUCUUUGUGCUAUAAUUUAAUCUUGUCCUAAAGAAUCACAUCUGCAUGUCAUUAAAAGGAUACUUAAAUAUUUGCUUGGAACUAUUGAUGUUGGAUUAUGGUAUCCUAUAAAUGUUGAGUUUAAUUUGGUAGGACAUUCCGAUGCGAAUUUUGUCGGUAUUUUACUUGAUCGCAAAAGUACUAGUGGGGCUUGCCAAUUUUAUGGUAGUUCCUUAGUAUCUUGGUUUAGUAAAAAGCAAAAUUUAGUUGCUUUAUCCACUACCGAAGUAGAAUAUAUUGCGGUUGUUAGUUGUUGUGCUCAAGUUCUUUGUGAUUUUGGAUUAAAAUUUGAUAGUGUGCCUGUAUUUGUGAUAAUACUAAUGUCAUCAAUUUGACUAAGAAUCCUAUUCAUCAUUGUAGAACUAAGCAUAUAGAUAUUAGACAUCACUUUAUUAGAGUGCAUCUGCAAAAUGGUCAUAUUACUCUUGAGUUUGUGAGCUCUAAUAAUCAAUUAGCGGAUAUAUUUACCAAGCCUUUGAAUGAAUGAAGUUUUUGUAAAAAUAGGUUUGAGCUUGGAAUUAUUCGUUGUGUUGCUUCUUGAUUUUACAUCUUACUUGAUAUUAUUAUCAAAUGCAUAUUGAUAGGGGGAGAAUUAGACAUUUUGUAUGUGUUCAUAUUUUUUUGGAAGAGCUUACUUCCUUGUUAUUCUUUUUGAUGAUUACAAAGAGGGAGAAAUAUAAGAAAAAAAAUGUUUUUAUGAAUUUGUUGCAUAAUUGUUUCUAUUGAAUAAUGCAUAUUUUUUUAAAAAAAAGAAUUAAUUAAGGACAAAGAAGGUUCUCUUAUCAAUUGUUUUCAAGUAUGAUCUUUGUGGUGAAAUAUAUACAUGAGCUUUAUGGUUAUACAUCUUGAUAAUAGAAUUACUUGUUGAUCAUGUGUGUUUCAAGUUAUUUUUCUUCAAUGAUUUGUCAUCAUCAAAAAGGGGGAGAUUGUUGGCUUUUUGGCCCUUAAUCUCAAAUUAAUUAAUUAAUUAAUAUUUUGAUGAUAACAAAUCUGACUUUUUAUUGACAAUUUUAUUAUUUUGAAUAGUCCAUAACAUAGAUCUUGGAACAAUGAUUCUGACAUCUUUUAAAUCACCUGAAUCAAAGUUCAAACAAAGAAAAUAUUACUAAAAGAAGCUUAACGAAACAAUCUUGUGGCGGCCAAGUAUUCAAUUUGAACCAAGUAGAGAAAAUCACUUGGAGCAAAGGAGGAGUAACAAAUGUGGUUUUUGGUUUUGUUUUAUUGGCUUUUAUAAAGAAAUUGAAUUUAAAAAGACAAUGACUUUAAUAUUAUUAUUUAUCUUUGUGUCUAACAGCUAUUUUUAAAAAAAAUAAUGGUGAGGUUGCUUUAUUGAGUUUUAAAUAGAGUAUUUUUAAAAAAAAAUUAUUAUAUAUAUUGUUUGUAUUGCGUCUAACGGGUAAUUGAGUUUAAAUCUCAACCAUUCAUUUUUCUUUUACUUACAUUCAAUGGCCUAAAGUAAUUUUGAAUUUAUCUUUUCCCUCUUUUUAAAUAUUUCACCCAAAUUUUGAACAACAUUAUCAAACUUCACAAUCCUCAAAAAGUACAAAAGCCAACAUUGUUAUUCUCUCUAAAACUUCCAAUUUUUACUUUUUUCAUCUUGUCCUUGAGAGAAUUCUUAUUGUAUUGUGAGGAUUAAUGAUUGAGAGCUUCAAAUUGUAUACUCACUCUUUUAAAGAGUUUUCUUUUGUGUGAUUAAAAACUUUCACAUAUUGUAACGGUUAGAUCCUAAUCCAUGAAAAUGUUUGAGUUUGCUCUUGAACCCAAAAAAUGAGCAAGUAGCGGUUCGACUCUAAUCCGUGGAAAGAGUCAAAAGAAGUUUUUUAAUCAAAAUCCCAAGAGGUGCUUGAGAAAGUGGAUGUAGGUUAAAUUUAACCGAACCAAUAAAAAAUUAUGAUGUCUUCUUCUCUAACUAUUUUCUAAUUAUUUUUGCAUUUAAUUUUAGUUAUAUAUUCUCGUUGGUUGAGUUUGAUUGCAUACUUUCAUUCAUAUCUUUUUAUCAAUCUUGUUAUUUAACAUAUUUUAGAAAGACUCUUUUUUUAUUUUAAAAACUAUCUAAUUAAUUUAAUUUAGGUUUAUUUGUUAAAAAGUUUAAUUAAACCCUAUUCAUCCCCCUCUAGGGUUGUCAUACUGAUCCAACAACCACAUCGAUCCAAUAUAACUCACCAAGCUAUCUUAUGAUUAAAGCGUGUUCCUUUCAGAGUCAUUGAACACCACACUUGGUCUCCUUUCGGGAUCCAAAUGACUAAGGUGUGCUAAGUGAUUUAUAUCUAGAAAUACUUAUUAUUCUACUUAGAGUGAUUCACAUUUAAGGACAACAACCUCGCGGUGUCUAUAGUCCACGCUUGUUCGAUUUUUGCGAUACGAAUGAAAGAAGUCCUCUCGCAAGGUUGAGAAAACUCUUUCUUACGUGUGUUAGCUACGUCCUUAGUACUCACCCUCUCGGGCAGUUGGCGACAUACACUAGCCAAGUGUAGAAUGUAGCUCAACUAAGCGAUAUAAAUAAAUACCACUUAUCUUGAACACAUCAUAAACCUAAACUACAAAUAACACAGAGAAAAAUGAACAAAGACAUGGAUGAAUUGAAAAGCGUAUAAAGAUGCAUUGUAUUAAAGAAUGAAGGCCUUCCGCCAAUGUACAAUAUAAAUGAAUACACAAUGUAAACAAAUAGUAAAAUGAAAAUAGGAAGAAAGUGAAAUACAAGUUAAGGGAACGCGAGAUGGACUCUUCUCCUCAAACUAUAAGCUUUCUUGUUAUAAUCUAGUCGAAAAAGAAGGAGUAUUGUACACAUGGUGGUGAGGCUAAUCAUUUCCACCAACUCAUUUGAAUGGUCAAAUGACCAUAUUGCACUUGGAGUUUUGUUGGGUAAUUCCACUAACAUUUAGUGGGAUAAGUGGCUACAUGAGAUGUAAACAUCUAGCCCACUAAGUUCUACUAGUGGUUAGUGAAAUAUUAGAUGUUGAGAUUUGAUAACCUAAUUACAUACAAUUUUGUAUGUAAUUAUGUUAUCUAAAGGAUUCAUUUUAGUUGUUUUAAUUUUUAUCUUGCAAAAUUCGUAAUUUUGAAUUACAAAAUUAUACCAACCUAAUUUUAUCUCUCAAAAUUUCAACCCUAAUUAGUUUUACCUCCAAUUUCCAUCUCUUUCUUAAGUUCCUUCACUUAUCACGAAUCUCACAACUUGGUUCUAAGUCUGGAUUGGAGAAUAGCAGGUCAACGUUAGUGGUGGGCUUGGGUUCAUGUUCGUGUUCGUGAGGAUUGAAGAAUACGAGGAUUGAAAAGUUUCAAAGGUAUGGUAUUCGAUAAACUCUAAUUUUACUUAAUUUUACUUAAUUAGGUAGUGAUGCAUGUUAAUUUCUAAAUUGUUUAGAUGCAAUUAAAGUAAAUAGAUCCGUAUUUCUACUGUGAAUGUCAACCGCUUUCAAUCAUCGAUGGGUUCACAAACUCUCUGUUCUACAACCUAAUUUAUCCAAGUUAGGAGUUCAUAAUGUAUUCACUCCAACUCAAGGGGUAGUAUUAUGAUAUCAAUUGGAUGGUUUUCGUUAGUUGAACAAUAUUGUUUGUAUUUGUGAUCACGUGAACCAAUAAUUGUUAGUAUUUUCAGUUCUAUGUCUCUUCAAGAGAUUUUAUUAUAUUAUUAUUGAGUUUAAUAAUUUCCUAAGUUAAAACUCACUUUACUAGCCCGUUUAUUUCCUAUGAUAAAUCCUUUGCAAGGGAGUAAACUCAGACCAAAAUCACACACCAUGAAGAUCAAAAUCAAUAAAACUAUCAACCACAUUUGACUAUUGAUAGCAUUCAAAAUACACUAUCUUAUCCUCUUAACUCGAAAUCAUUUCUUGUAUAUUACGUGUCUAUUUCUUGAUUUUGAUAUUGAACUUAAUUCAGGCCAUUCUAGGUCAUAAUAUCUAUUUUGGACAAAACAAACUUAAUUGGAGGUUUUGAGUGGCAAGGAAACUCGAGUUGAUGCAUUGAAGGCACAAUGCAGGGGUGUUGUAAGAUAAAAGGUCUUAUUCGAAUGAGGCUGCACACAUUUGCACUAUGCCGUGAUGUUGAUCUUAGCAUCGCGACGUUGUGACAUAUAUAUAUUUUUUUAUUUAUAUCUAGCUUUUGGCAUUUGUGGAAACACAUUUAAUUUUUACAUAAAUUUUGAAGCAUUUUCUCCAAAACUAUCUACACUCCGUCGAACAAUUUGAUUGAAGACUUUUGUUGAUUUUUAUGGAUGCAUCAUAGCUAAGGUGCUCUUGUUUAGCUCGAGAUUCUAGAUUUAUGUUUUGAUUUACAAACUCAUGAGAUUUUUGUAUCAUGUGAACUGUAUGAUCUAUUGAAUUCUUUGUUUGAACUUAUUUCUUUGAUCGGAUAUGUUUGGGAUUAUUGGCAACUAACCAAUCAUGUUUAGUCAAAUGUUAUAGAUCUAAUUCUACUAUGUAAUUGUUAGGUAUACAUCAUAAGAUAUGGGAUGCUUAGUUAGAAUUGUUUAUAGAUUUGACAAUUUCUAUCUAAUGACAUUUGUCCAACUAACUUAGGAUUGAAAUUCCAUCGAACACUCGAUUAGGCAAUUCUAAUUUGUUUGAUUGAAUUAGGUUUUACCCAAAUUCAAUUGAUUUGCAUGUCAUCUAAACAUAAAAAUUGAUUUGAUUUAUAAACCGUCACUCUGAUUUCUCUAGGCAUGGUUAGCUAAGAAUUUGUUCAUAUGUUGCAAGGAAUAUAAUAUGCAUGGCAAAUCAAUGAUUAAGUUGAGUGAAUAAAGAAACAACUUAAAUAAGUUUCCACUGGGUGUUUGUAUGAUUGAUAAUUUUAAUCAACAAUAAUUUUUCAGUUUAUUCAUUCAAGUGAAAUUGAAAUCAAUCAAACAACAAUUUAUUCAUUAUUGGUUUUACAAUAACUUAAUUUCAAGGAAAAGUCGAUUAGUUCUUUGUGGAUCAACUUGUUGCUACACUAAUACUAUAGAAUUUAAGUGAAAAAAAAAAGAGUUAUUUGGUUUGAUCUAAAACCUCAACAACUUUAAGUGAAUCAAUUAUAGGGUACAUCAAGUAUAUUUGAUUACUGUUUUUAAUUUAAGACAUGGACGAGUCCAGAAGGAAAAUGGCUUUGGAUUCUUGGACAAAAACACUUACAAUUCAACCCACUAUAUUUUAAAUUCGCCAGCAAAUAAGCCUAAUCCUCAAUUAAUUAAUUAAAAGUUUGUCAUGCCAUAAAAAUAUACAUACAUUCAAUUUAAAAUUAGAAUAGAGUUUACAACCAUGCAAAGUGUACACUUACUACUACUACUACUUAGUACAUAAAAAAUAAUUGCUGACAUAAAAUUAGGUCAAAAGCAAAUAUUUAAUGAAUGAGGCAGAGAGUGAAAAUAAUAAUAAUAAUAACAACACUCCCUUCUUCCAUUAUUUUGGAAAAAAAAAAUUAGUGUGUUUUCAAGACGGUGUACGGACGAAUAAAUGAAACAUUUUGUUGUAUUAAUAUUAAAGUUGAACCUUGAUUAAUCAGAGGAUAAAAAAGAAAUCAUCAUUAUAAAAUUUUAAAAAAAAUGUUCGAUAUUAAUUAAUUAAUUAAAAAAGUAUGAUAAAAAUGAUUUUGAAGAAGAAAAAGAAAAUGAUUCAAUAAUAAUAAUAAUAAUAAUGGGGUCCAGUUGGAAGAGCAAAAUGCAAAGAGAGUCCAGUUGUUAUCCUCUCUCUAUCCAAACAGGGAACAUGUUACAUGCUUAUGCUUCAUUAUUUUAAGGCUUUUUCCAACCAAGCUUUUUCAAUCUUUGUUCCAAAAUUUAGCUUAACUCACGUGAUUCGCACGUGCAUAACAUGACUCCUUGAAUCCCUCUCCUCUCCUCUCCUCUCCUCUCCUCUCCCCCCCUAGCUGAAUUUCCUGAAACACCCCUUCCUCACAUGGCCCAUAAGCACCAUAUAACUUUACAUACCAAACUAACUAUCCAUUUACAAAAUCAUUUUAAGUUCUUUUUACAUAAACUAAGAACCAAAUUUUGAUAAGUAUAUCAAUUUAAAGUUUGAAUCAAGAUUUUAUUUUAAAAGAAUAGUUACAAUGGACGGCGGUAUUCUUCCUACUAUAUUGAUACUGUCAAUUGACAUAAAAUUUUAGACUUUAAAUUAAAACCAUGUUUACAUCAAUAAUUAUUUUUAAAAAGAAAAAGAAAAGGAUGGAAAGAAAAAUUUCAAUAAUUUAAAAGGUGAUGAGAGAAAUGAAGUGAUGGGCUCCAAUAAUUGAAAACCCAUCUUCAUCCAUGCCACUGUUAUAUAAUAUAAUAUUAGUUGAUGGAAGACAAAGGACAAGGCUGUCAGCCCAAAAUAGUCUCGUCACCCGCAGGUGGGCGGUGCCCGAAGCCUUUGCUUUUUGCAUUCUUUCCUGCUUCUCAUUGCUAUCUUCACCUCCAACAAUUCUUCUUCGUCUUCUUCUUUUUCAUGCUACACCCCACCUUCAUAUUUCUUCAUUAUAAAUAUCCAUUUUAUACUUCUUUUAUUCGCUAUUCAAAUUAUCAUUACCCGCUUACAUAUUGGAGUUUAUAAACUUGUGUUUUUAUCCUUGUAAGAAUCAUUUCUUUUUUUUAUAUAUAUAUAAAUUAGUAGAAAAAUAAAUAUAAAUGAAAUUUCUUUGUAAAUGUAAACAAAUAGAAAUGGAAAAGGAUUGUUUUUUUAAAAAAUUUUAUAAAAAAACAGAAAAAGAUAAAAAUUAGAUAAAGUUACUUGAUCAAUCGCUAAAUCUUCUCAAUUUCUACAUUACCAAGAUUGUAAAAAUAAAUUUAAAUGUGAGACAAUAUUGAUAUUUACCUAUGAUAUUUUAGACGAAAAUUAAAUUAAAAGUAAAAUUAAAACCAACUUAGUUUUAGAAAAAAAUCAUAUCAUCAAGUAAAAAAUAUAACGUCUUUAAGGAGUAAAUUAAUAUAGAUACAUUUCUUUUAGUACUAACAAUUGACUGUAGAAGAAUUUAAACAACAAAUUUCAUGGUUACUAGUGCAUUUAAAUGCCAAUUAAGUUAAAAGAUUCAAUUUAUAAGAUGACAAGAAAGCUUACUAGUGAAAAUAGGGUUGGAAAGUUGGAACUAGUUUUAAAAUAAAUAAAAAAUAAAAAAGGAAAGGGUUAAAAUUAAAUAAUUUGAUCGAUUAGUUUGGGGUUGGUUACCACUUAUUAGCUGCAACCCCCAGAGACAUUAUCUGUUUGCCUUUAUUUUUUUUCAUUCUGCUAUAAAUACAAAUUUUCUUACUUCUUCAAACAUAUAUUUUUUUGUCUUGCCAUUAUACCUGCCCCUCUCAUUUUUUCUUGUGAGAGAGCCAAAAAGUUAUUUCUAAUUACAUAUUCAGAGUCUGUCCUCUCUUUAUUAAUUAUGAUAUUCACUUCAUUAGUGUAGUUGGGAUUGGUGAGAGGCAGUUGUGGAAGAAUAUAUAUAUGUGGAGAGAUAGACCACUUUCAAACAAAAAAAGCCAAGAAUUUUUCUGAUCAUUUCUUCGAGUGUUAUUUGUGUAUAGUGAUGGGGAAGCUGAAGAAAAUGGGAAAGGUUUUUGAUUGUUUCAGUUAUUCAUCCAAUUCUUGUAGUUCCAACUCUUGCUUUUGCAUAAACUCCAUGGAAAUUGAAGAUGAAGAAGAUGAGUUUUUUGAUAAACAGCCACUCAUUGCCAACAACAACAGAAAAGACAACCAAUUGCCCACAUUGAAGGAUGUUGUCAAUGGAAAUCAGACCUUAGCCUUUCAACUCAAGCCCAAGGUCCUAUUUUCUUUCCAAUUUUUGUUUUCUUUUUUCUCUUAUUUGCCGACUUCAAGGUUGUUUUUAGAUUUCAGUUUUUGAAAGUGAAGGGGUAUGUUUCUUAAAAAGAACAUAUUAGAGAAUGAAUGUCAUGUGUAUGACUUGAAUCAGUGCUUCUAAGUUUGAUUUUCAAAGGUAGAAAAGUAAAAACCAAGACUCUGUUUGAAAAUUAACACAGUGUUCUUCCUUAGAUGUGUUGUUUUGUUAUCAAUUUUCUAUUAAUAUUUUCAAAAAUAAAAAUUUAAAAUCGAGACCCAUUUGGUAACUUUUUUAUUUUUAGUAUAUAAAAAAAUUACACUAAAUUAUAUACGUUUUGUCUUUUUUAAUAAAGAACAAACUAUAAAUUUUAAAAAUUAAGAAAGGCUCUUUUUAGUUCUUUCUUAAUUAAAAGUUUAUCUACGAGUACAACUCUCUCCCACAUAAAGUAUUGUAAAGAAUUGAAAGAAAAGAUGAUUAUUUUCAAAAUAUUUACACAACUGGGAUGCAAUUCUUUGAAUUAAAGUGUAGUGUUUUUGAAAGAGAGAGUAUUUCUGAUUUUUCAGAUGGUGACACUGAGAGUGUCCAUGCACUGUAAAGGCUGUGCAAGAAAAGUGGAGAAACACAUUUCAAAGAUGGAAGGUACUUAAACCCAUUAUUAAACCUUAUAUAUACAAAUAUAUAUUAUUACACCAAUUAUUUUAAAUGUUAUCUAACUAAUUAAUUAAGCAAUUAAUUUUGAAAUAUAUGUUUAGUUUGCUUAUUAUUUUUUUUAAAAAAAUGAAUGUAACAGGAGUGAGCUCAUACACAAUAGACUUGGAGACUAAGAUGGUGAUUAUUAUUGGAGAUAUUCUGCCCUUUGAAGUGGUGGAGAGCGUUUCUAAAGUAAAAAACGCACAGCUUUGGCAAUCCUCUAUAGCUUCAUGAUAACUAUUAUUGAAAUAUCAACAAUAUAUAUAUUUAUUAAUUAGAAAUAUGUACAUCUUUUUUCUCUACAAGUAAAACAGAUUGAUCGGAAUUUUGCAGAGAAUAUUUUCAUAUUCUUUGUAAUUUUGUGUUUUUAAUUUCGAUAUUUUCUAUAUAUUGUUUAUUAUUAUACUAUAGAUUGACCAUAUGUGAUGCCACUUAAUUUAUAUAUUGUUGAGUAUUUAUAUGUUUCUCUGUCCAAAAGAACUAAUGUUAUUUCAAACUUAAACACAUGCAUGCAUGUAUAUGUGUAUAUAUAUAUAUAUGUUUUAUGUUAAUUACCAAAUUCAUGUAGACCAAACAAAUUUUUUAAACAAACUUUACCUGUUUUAUUCAAGUAAUUACAAAGCAUAUGAAAUAAUGGGUAAGGAUUUCGAUUCGAUUGAAGAGAGUAGAGACUUCAAAUUAAAAUAUAUAGUUCAACUAAUCAUGUGAUAUGUUAACCAUCCACACCCCGCAUUCUACAUUUAAAAUAACUCAUCCAACCAAAUUUAUGUGGCAAUCUAUUACAAAAUGGAUGAAUAUAAAAUUAAAACCUAACAUUUGAAGGAGCUCAUGAUGGAGUCUCUAAUCUCUUCCACAAAACCUCUUAUUUGUUCUUUAUCAAUAAACCCAACCCAAAUUUUCAAUUAAAUAAGUAAAUAAACAAAAAGCUUCACAAAUGAACAUGCAUAGUGGAGUGACUGGAGUUGCAUUAAAAGUCAAAUGAAUGCACCACUAAACCAUAUUAAUUAUGUUUUUCAAAAACCAAUACGUAUUGUGGGCCACUAAAGUUAUUUUCAUAUAGAUGCAUGCAUAUAUUAAAGAAAAGACAAUUAUAAUAAUUAUUAAUUAGAUCAAGACUAUUAAUAGAUAUAAUACAAUCUAAAAUAAUAAGGAAAGUUUGAAAAAGAAAAAAUUAGAAAAAAACAUUUAUGAUAAUAAAAUUCGUCUUAUGCCAAAUUCAAAAUAGUAAACUGAUGAAAAAUUUAAAAAUAACAAAUUUAAAAUCAGUUUACGGUAUGAUAAUUAUUAUAUUUAUUAAAUUUGUAAUAUGUAAAAAUGAUGGGUUAUAAGUUUUUUUUGUCAUCUUAUACAAUUUUUCAAGUAAUAAUUUAUAGAUACAAUUUAUACAAUUUAAAUGAAAGAGUCUUUUAAAAAAUAUAACAAAUCGAUAAAAUAUUUAUACUGUAUAGAAUAAUUUUCGAAGACAGAAAAUUCGUAGGCUCAUAAUGAAAAAUACCAAAAUUGUUUAAUCCAUAAUUGACACUGUUUGCAUAAUACAUUUUGUAAACUAUCGUUUAAAUUUGACUAUUUUUGUCAAUCUUUUAGAUUUGAUCAUUUAAAUUUAGUCAAAUCUAAACUAUUUUUUUCAAGAUUAUUUGGAACAUGAUCGUUUAGAUUUGACUAUUUUUGGUACCCAAUCGUUUAGAUUUGAUCGUUUAAAUCUGGAUAGCCAAAUUUAAACGAUUUUUUAAAAGAUUGUUUGGUACACGAUCGUUUAAAUUUAAUCAUUUAAAUUUACGUAGCCAAAUCUAAAUGAUUUUUUAAAAACAUUUUGGUACACAAUUGUAUAUGAUUAUUUAAAUUUAAGUAGUCAAAUACAAACGAUUUUUUUCAAUAUUUUUUUUGUACAAAAUCGUUUAGAUUUGGUACAUUUUAGAUUAGAUUGUUUAAAUUUGGCUACUAAAUCUAAACGCUUUUUUAAAGAUUCUGUUUAGGAUAGUUUAGAUUAACAAUUUUUUUUUUCACAACCUUUUAUAUUUGGAACAACCAAAUACCAGUUUGAAAAAUAAAAAUAAAAAAUAGAUCUUUAUAUUUUGUACCCGAUCCUGAACCAAAUAAUUGUUUAAAAAAAAAUAGAAGAAAAAGUGCAGAAGAAGAGAAAAAGACAAUAGAAAGAGAAAAAAAUCAUAGAAGAUGAUGAUAAGAAAGAUGAUGAAAAUGAAGAGCAAAUUAAACUUGAAAUAUUUUUAAAAAAUGGUCAACUUCAUUGUCCUUUUCAUUUUGUUACAUGGACCGUAUCCUAAAUAUUUGAACGAAUUUAUGUAUUUAUAAAGAUUAACCUUAAAUUAAUAUUGUUAGAGUCUGUUAGUAACAUGCUAUAGUGUUUACAGUAGAGUUUAUCAGAUAUGGACCAUAUUUGAAUUUUGUAAGGAUAAUGUUGGACACUUAAUUAUUAAACUUAAAAAUGCUUCAUUGCAAAUAUGACGUGAAAAAUGGUUAAAAUCUUAUUUUAGUACUUAAUCUUGGCAUGUUAUUCUAUUUUGGUCCACAACUUUUAAACGUGUUUAUUUUGGUUCUCAAAUUUUUUUGACAAAAAUUUGUUUUGAUCUUUGCCAUUAGAAUUUCAUUAACUCUUUAACCGAAUGGUGAUAUUGUUUCCUAGAUUUUGAUGAUUAUACUCUAGAUUUAUUGGAGCAUUUUAAAAAUUGAAAAAUAAAUUAAAAUAUUUAUAGACUAUAGCAAAGAUUUAAAUUUUAUCAAUGAUAGAAACGAAUAGACUUCUAUCAGUAUCUAUCAAUGUUAUUGAUAGAAGCACAUCAAUAUCUAUAAAUAUUUGUUAUUGACAGAAUCUGAAAAUUUUAUUAUAUGUUAUAAAUAUUUUGUUAAAUUUGCUAUUUUUGACCAUUUUACAUAUAAAAAUAUAAUUAUCACACACUUGAAUUAACUAAACUCAAAUUAAAAACUAAUUUUGUCAUUUUUCUCAAAAAAAAAAAAAAAAAACUUAAAUCUCUCUCCCAUCAUUGGAUUUAUUUUUCAAAUUAAAAACUAAUUUUGUUUUAGUUUAUUUAUUUAUUUAUUUUUCAAAUCGAACUAAUUUUAAAGCAAAUUAGAAGAACAACAUUGAGUAGAAUAAAAACAAAAAGAAGUAUCAUAUUGGUGUUUCACAUUUACAGUAAACUAGAAAAACAAAAUAAGUGAAAUAGUUGUUUAAAAUAAACUCUAUCAAAUUGUAAACAAAUAUUCAUACGAUGAAUCAUAAAGCCCCAAACAAAGAUGGAAGGAAGAAAAAAAAAAGCAUCUCAAUUAAGCACCUCAAUUUAUAUAUGGAUAAAGUGCAUCAAGCAAAUUAAAAGAACAACACUAAAGUAUAAUGACAAUAUUCCAAAAUGGUGGCAAUCAAAAUCUAGAAGACCUACUUGGCUACUUGUUGAGGUUUCCCAUAAAACAUCAAUUUACCAUCUAACAUUUAACUAAAAAAUAAAACUCUAAAAUAUUAAAAGUGAUUAUCUUAUUUAGCAUUCUAGUCAUCCAAUAUAGAAGCUAUUUCACCAUUUUGUUUCGAAACUAAAACAAAGACUUUUAAACAUUCAGAGACUAAAAUAGAAGAAGAUAUAUAGGGUAGAUAGUUUAGGACGGGAACAAAAAUUUGUUUGAGUCAGAAUUAAAAUACAAACAUUUUGAAAAAGUAAUAAAUAGAAACAUACAAAAUUAAAAUAAAGUUUGAUAAUGAAUUCAACCAAUCUAUUCACAACCUUUUUUAAUCUUUGAAUUCAACCUUUGUGUCAACUGAGUUUGAACUUUUGUUGACUAUCUUACCAUAAAUGAUUCUCAUCACUCUCCGUGAUCUAAAUUUUAUGUAUUCCAAGUAGAUCAAUGAUUGGGUAAGGCUGGCAUUAAUAAUAAUAAAAAAAAUUAGAAACAUUUCCUUCUCUUCAAUUAUUAGAUGGUGAUCAAUUAAUGAAUUAUUACACAUUAUCGAUCAAUUUGAUAAAUGUAAGAAGUUUAUUAUAAAGAAUAUUUUUUUCUAGAAAAAAACUAAAAUAUAUAUUGUCACACAAAAUAAAUGUAAGAAGUUUAUUAUUAAGAAUAUUUUAAGUUAUCUGUAACCUUUUGUUUUAAAACUUCAAGUCUAUCAACCCUACUUGGUAAUUAUUUUAAAAUAUUCUAAUAGAACUCAAAUUGUGAAAGAAGGGUAAACAUUCUUUUGUGUAUAAAGAUCUUCGAAAUACUUAACAUCUCCAUGGUUUUACAAUGAAAGAUGUCUUCUAGUUGUUUGUCCCCUAUGUGUGCCCUCUAUGUAAUCAACAUGACCAAUAACUACAUCUCCUUUUCACUAGCCCUAUCGUCUAGUACUAGUUAAUUUUUUUUUCCAUUUUCACCUUUAAUUUCUUGAGUUUGUUGGAAUUUAUGUCCUAAAACUUAUUGUUUGUAGUUUAAAUUUUAUUUUAUUCAAUAAAGUGGUUAUUGAGAAUUUAUUAGUGAAAAUUAUAUGCAAUAAUCUUGAAUCCAAUAAACUAAGGUUUCGAGGUUAUCUAGUGUAGACUUUAACUUUAUGUAAGGACAUAAACGUGGAUCAAGUUCAAUUAUAGAGCCCCAACAGUAUAUAGUGUAUGAACACGGUUGGGCUCCUUAUUCUAAACAUAUUAUCGAUGCGGCUCACUUUGUAGUUAGUACAAACAAUUUGAUCUUGAAUCCUUCAUGUAGAGACAUAGAAGUGGGGGCAUUCUAUGUAAAGAGUGUACAUAAAAAAGGAACCAUGAAAUAGUUACUUUUAAGUUAUAAUUAACACCGUUGACUAUAUAAAACUGACUAUUUCAAUUAUUAAUGACCUAGGUAACUUAAUUUAUUCAUGAGUUAACUAUGAACUUCUAUUCAAAUGAAACUAUUGUAACGACCCAACUCUUUAUACUGAGCUGAAGUAAUUACCAGUAAAACAAAUGGAAACUUUUUAUUUAAAAUAAAAUAAAGUGCUAAAUUUAAAGAAAACGUUUCAAAUAUUCAUUUAAAAUCAAUGAUAAAUAAAAUGUGUUAAUAAAAUAAUAAUAAAAUAUUAGGUAAAAUACUAGUUUGGACCUUGUUUAAAGUGAAAAUAAAUAUCUUAAAAGUAAACUUGAGUUCUAAAAUAAUUAUCUGAAAAUUGAAUACUCAAAACAAUAAAUGCGGAAUAAAACAUCUAUUAUUCCCUAUGGUGAACCACAAUCUCUUCUUGUCAUUCGCUAGCUUUCCUUUACCCCUGCAUAUAAAAUUAAACAUAGAAAAGAGUGAGUAUAAAUUUACACUCAGUAAGGGACCCACAUUAGUCCCACUAGAUGUCUGCUAAAUUUCUGUUAGAGUCUUGUAAGGAGGUACUGCUUAACUAUUGUGCUCCCAAAGGCACGCUAUCCAGUGAUCCCUUACGGACACAUCUGGGCUCUUAGUGAUCUCGAAGGAAACACCCUAAAGGAGAGUCGGGCUGUAAGUGAUCCUGUCGAAACACACAUAAAACUGACCACACAGGCAUAAAUAGGUGGUGAUCUCGAGUAAGGAGAUGAGUGUCCAUUAGAGGAGCACUUAUAUUUAAGGACUAGAGGUAACCUAGGGGUAAAACGGUAAUUUGACUCAGCUGGUGUUACGAACACUUGUGAAAAACUAACUAACUAUUAUUGGUUUAUAUUCGUGGACAUAAAAAUAUAUCUACAGUGAGAAUAGUUCAAUUACAAGUCUUUAGUAGAGUGUAUACAUAGUUAACGAAUAUUGAUUAAUGUGGUUAAUGAGUUUAACCAAUUAAGCUCAUGUCAUUGUAGCUUCUGAUUUAUAGGUCAAUUAGGUCAUCUUCCUACCUCGUGAAGGAUAAAAAGAUUUAUUUAUAUUGGUCGUAAUUUGAAAUGUCUAAAUUUACUUUGAGAAUUAGUAUAAUGUAUGGUGAUACAUUAUAAUAUAAAUUAAGUACUUUAUGUUUUAAUCAAACUUUAUUAUAUAAAUUUAUUUUUGAAUAUGUUUCAAAAUUAAUUUAUGAGAGAUAAAAUAUUUGAAUGAGUUUAAAUAUUAAUUUAAUGUGAAUUGGAUUCAUAUUAAAAUUAUUGAUUACGAGAGAAAUUUAUAUUUGAAUGAUAAUCCAAUUUGAUUUAAAUUAAAUAUAAGAUAUUUAAUUUAGCUACUAGUUAAUUGUUUAGUUUAAUUUUAUUUUAAUUAAAUUAAUUUUAAAUUAUAAGAUAAACGAGAGAUAUUCAUUAAAUAAGAUUUAAAUGAAAUAUUAACUAAAUAUAAUAUAAUUUAUUAUUAAUUAAUUGAUUAAUUGUUAAUUUAAAAUUUUUAUUAAUUUAAUAUUUUUUAAAAUUAAUAUAAUCUCAUGAUUCUCGCCUACUCCCUUUCCUACUCCAAAAAAGAAAGAAAUUUAUAAAUACACAUGAGAAAAUAAUUUUUCUCCAACUAAUGAUUUUGCUUUUAUGCAAAAUAGUUUUUCUCUAAAAUUUUUCCCAUCUCAUUUGGUUCUCACAAACCAAUCUCAUCCCAGAAGAUAUGAAGGUCUUCGACGUGUGGUGUCUCCUCCAAAUUUGAAGAUUUAGAGACGUCAAACUACACAAGUUUUUCUUUCUCUAAUCUAUACUUUAUUAAAGCAUGCUUAAUAAGAAAAUUAGUUUCUUAAUUGUUUUUGUAAAUGUACUUGUAUUUUGGGAUUCUCAAAUUAAAUUGAGUCAUUGGAAAAUGGUUAUGUAAAAUCUUCUACUGCAAAGGGCUUUUAUCCCUUUAGAAAGAACCUCUAAAGGAGUGUCACUAUAAGAGAACUUAUAUUUAGAGGUUAUUUAGCUAGGUGUUAGGCGUUUGGGACGUUGGGCGUUCAAGCUUGCUAGGCAAGCAAAGAAGCCUAGGCGCGAAAGGAAAAGAGGCUAGCAAGCUUGCGGCUAUAGGACUAUGUGUUGAGAGUUUGUCACGCGAGGAAGACAUUGGCUAGGUGUUUAAAGAUUAACAUAAGGCUUGUUGGGCAAGGAAGCAAGGCUAGGUGAGGAAGGUAGUUGGGCGGCCAAGCUAUGCGAGGAAACCAUGUAGGUUAGCCAUGCGAUUGGGACAUACAUGUAGCAUGCUCUAAGCAAUCAGUUAAAAGUAAAUUCAGGUGUCUUAACCAUGUUAUUAUGCAUUUUUCAACCAUGGAGGACGUGGAGGAGUUGCUGAGGUGUAAACACAAGCUUAAGAGGUGAUUCCAAUCAAGAUUAUACUCUCAUGCAAGAAACUCUAUAAAUAGGCCAGCUUAAACAAUUAAUUUCUCACAACUCACUCAUACAAAAUUACUUAAUUAAUUAGUCUUAAAAGUUCAGAAAUUGAGUCUAAUUUGUGAAAGAUGGUUGCUAUGCAUUUUAAAUUCAAAAUGGUUGUCGUUGUGGUUGAGCAAAGGUGAGAAGGUCAUUUUCUAGGAUAAUCUGAGCAAGGUGUACUUCCAGAUAGCUACAAGACUCAAUCCCAUUUUCUAGGAGAAUCUGAGCAAAGGUGCACUUCCUUUACCUCCUUCCUCGAUCUCUUUCCCCUUCUGACCACCAAAAUUUAGCAUCCUCUAGCUAUCCAAUAAUAGAAAAAAAAGUCUUCUUUCGUCCAAUAAGAACUUAAGUUUAUUAUGGAAGUCGAGAGUUGCAAAGUUAAUGGUUCUUAAAUUUGCACUUGGUUUGAAGGUUUUAGCUAGCUAUUUUAUGGACAAUGUUGAAAAUAAAAUAUCCUUGCUACUAGUCAAAUCUCGUAAGGACGUACGAUGCAGGGAUGAUCAAAAUCUCUAAAUUUGUUACCUCUUAUUGUCACAACCCAUUUUGGAGCAUCACCUCACUCGACCCAAGAUGUGGCAUGAAGCUAACCGACAAUGUUUUUCUUCUAAUAAUGUCUUUCAACCCUGCUUAACAUGUAAUUAUCAUCAUCUCUAAUCAGAUAAAUGGACACAAGAUGUAGAAAGAAAAGUCUAAUUUGAAAACAAUCACUUAAAUUUUUGCAAAACUUUCUCAUGUUUUUCCCACUAAUUGACAACCUGCUCAACAGUCUUAUAUAGACAAAAUGAAGUUGAGAAUUCCAACAAGGAUAACACCAUUACAAAACUGAAAUCAAACUAUAAUAUUAGUCUAUUACAGACAAUGACAGCUAAGUCCUCUCUUAGCUUAAUUAAUUACAUUUUAUCAUGCAUGCAUGGAAUAGGCCAUACAAAAUCUACUUAAGCUUCUAGUAGAGUAGGUAAAUGCUUUAACUGAAGGGAUAAAAGUCCUAUGGCAGCGGAAGAUUUAAAAAAUCAUUACUAAUUUAAUUUGAGAAUCUUAGAAUACCAAUACAUUGGAAAAAUUUAGAAUCAAAAUUCUAAAUAAAAACUAAGCAUGUUUCUUAUUUAAAAGAUACGAAGAACUUACUUUAGUUGAUGUCGCUGAAUCUGUAAACCACCGAAUUGGGACACUACUCGUCAGAAGACCUUCAUAUCCUCUCGGAUGAGAUUGGUUUGUAGAAACCAAUUGGGAUGAAAAAAAGUUUUGAGAUAGUUGAGAGAAACUCUUUUCUUUUGUAGAGCAAAAGCCUUGGUUUUUUUCUUAAUGAAUUUGUUAAAUAAAACUGUUUUCUUCCACAUAUUUAUAAGUCUCUUUCCUUCUUGGGAUAGGAAAAGGAGUAGAAGAGAAUCAUCGGAUUUUAUUAUCAAAUCUACUAAUUAAUUAACAAUUAAUCAAUUAGUUAAUAAUUAAAUAAAAUCAUAUUUAAUCAAUAUUUCAUUCAAAUCUUAUUUGAAUUAAUAUCUCCCCAAUAUCUUAUAGAUUUCUAUUAAUAUAAUUAACUAAAUUAAUUUAAUUAAUAUUUUAUUCAAAUCUUAUUUGAAUGAACAUCUCUGUAAUAUCUUAUGGAUUUGGGUUAUUAAGACAAAACUAAUAAUUUAAUCAAUAACAAUUAUUACAAUAAUAACAUGUUAUUAAUAAUGGUCAAUGGAUUAUAUUUACAAUCUACGAGUUUUAGGACAUAAAUCCCAACAUUAACAGGCGUUGGAACCAUGAUCUCUACCUGUAAGGGUAAUGAUAAUAGAAUACAGGACAUAUGCAACAAAAAUAAAUAUCAAUUUUUUCUCUAAAAGAAUCUAAACUAUUUAGAAAUCAACUUGUCAAAACUACCAUAAUUUAAAUGAAAAUUAGGGUUAAUAGAAAACUUACCUUCGUAGCUUCCCGUUCCUCUCAAACUCCUCACGAAUUGGAACUCAAACCACCACUAGAGUUUAUAUGUUAUUCUUCAAACUUAGAACCGGAUUUGGGACCCAUAAGGAGCACUACUACAAAUAUCUACUUUACUUAACACUUCUAACUUUUACAUACCUGACGUUUUUUGUUAAAAAAAAUGUCAAGUAUGGACCAUUUUAAAGAAAAAACAUCAAGUAACAUGUUAAAAAACUGGAGUAAUUACAUUAUUUUUUAAACUAUUUUAUGUUAGUUAUUACUUGACGUUUUUUCACGUCAAGUAUUGUUAAUGUUUACUUGACACGAAAAAAAUGUCAAGAGUAAUGUUGAUUUUUAUUUGAUAUUUUUUAAACGUCAAAUAUAUUUUUUUCAACACCAAAGGAAACUUUUUUAAAAAACUUCGUUCGCAUACAUGUACCUUAACUUCUGCAUAUUAGCCCUUUCGUUCUCGUCAAAGCCCUUUUCUCCCCUAAUUCGACGUCAUCAUUGUUCGAGUGAAAACCCUUGUCUCCCUUGUUCGACUCGAUCCUUGGUCCCUUAUCUCCUUUAUGCACCAUUGCAGGCCUCUUGUCUCCCUUACGUUCCGUCACUGGCCCCUAGCUAGCAAACAUUUGUCUCCUCUGCUCACCAUCGUCUGCAUCUCCUUUGUUGCCCAUUGAUUUGAUGUCGGUGAAGAUUUCCCAUGUCGGAUUUGCAAGGGUUUCUUUUUUGCUAAUUUCUCUGGAUUUUUUUGACCCAUUUCUAAUUUGAGUAAGAAAGUAAAAUUCGGGUAAGUAUUAAGAAGUUGACAUUUGAAUAAAUCUAUGGAAAUGAUUAAGCAAUAAAAUCUUUUAUGGUUAAGUAUACAUUUUUGCGAUUAAGUGGGUAGUUCGCGAAAGAAGUUGUAUGAUAAGAAGAGAAAAAGUCUUCGUGUAAGUUAGAAGUGAAAGUUUUAAGUGUUAGACUAGAAGUUUUGGGUGGUCUUCGCAAGAAGAACCAAGUGUUUCGUGGAGAAGAAGUCUACGAGGAAGCCUUGGAGUUUAAGUUCGGGAUAAAAGUUUGAUUCGAGUAAAAGUUGGUGAAUUCACCGAUAAGAUUUUUUAUAGUAAAAACAUAACCACACGAUAAGGUUAUUCGUGAGAAAUAUUAAGUGGUUGAAGUUAUUCGCGGUUUGGAGUAUGACAAUUUGAUAUCAGAAGGAUACGUUCUUUGGGAAAGCAUAUAUAAAUUUAGGUUGAGUGAGUUAAAAGUGGAAGAUUUGGAACAACGAUGAAUUCAUAAGCUUAUUCUGUAAACCCUAGCAUUUUAGUGCCAUAGGCUGAGGGAAAUUUUGGAAUAGAAAGGUUGAAAUUGUUAGGAGCCAAUAAGUUUGGUGGAACAACUAAACCGAAAGAAGCUAAAAUGGCUACGAACAUUCAAGAAGUGUUUUCGCAUUAUGUAGUGCUUGAAGGAAAGAAAGGUGGACCUAGCUACAUUUUUAUUACAAGAAGAGGCUAAAGAUUGGUGGAUCUUGGAUGAAAGUAGACGAGGAAGGGUUAAUUGGAAAGAAUUUAAAGGAAUAUUUAAUGGCAAAUACUUUCCAGUGGCGUAUAUAGAAGAAAAGAGAGAUGAGUUCCUCUAUUUCAAACAAAAAAGACUCUCGGUUGCUGAAUAUGAGAGAGAACUCAUAGGAUUGGUGAAAUAUGCCUUAAUAUUAAUAGUAGAUGAGGAAGAAAGAUACAUGCAUUUUGUAAACAGCUUGCGGGAGGAGAUCAGGAUACCUAUUGUCCCGAUUUUGAUAGAAUUGACUACACACAGUUGUGGAUGCAGCCCUGCGAGUGGAAAAGAGUUUGGGCUUAAAAAGAUCAAGCUCUCACAUAGGCGAGAAAGGAGAAGAAGGAAGUCGAAAGAAUAAUAAAACUAUAAUUUUAAUGUUAUAAGGCUGUAAUUCUGAAAGUUAAAAGUAAUAUUUUUUUUUGUGCGUUAUUGUCUUAUUGUUUAAGUUUCGAGGAUAAAGUUUCUUAAGAGGAAAAGAAUUGUGAGACUCAUUUCUAAUUUGAGUAAGGAAGUAAAAUUCGGCUAAGUAUUAAGAAGUUGACAUUUGAAUAAAUCCAUGUAAAGGAUUAAGCGAUAAAAUUUUUAUGGUUAAGUAUACAUUUUUGUAAUUAAGUGAGUAGUUCGCGAAAGAAGUUGUGUGAUAAGAAGAGAAAAAGUUUUCGUGUAAGUUAAAAAGUGAAAGUUUUGAGUGUUAGACUAGGAGUUUGGGGUGGUCUUCGCAAGAAGAACAAGUGUUUCGUGGAGAAAAAGUUUGCGAGGAAGCCUUGGAGUUUAAGUUCGUGAUAAGAGUUUUAUGCAAGUAAAAGUUGGUUAGUUCACGUGGAAGGUUUCUUAUAGUAAAAAUAUAACCACACAAUAAGGUUAUUCACGAGAAAUGCUAAGUGGUUGAAGUUAUUCAAGGUUUGGGGUGGGAUAGGAUUUCCUUUGUAUCGUGUGAUUCUGAGUAUCAUCAGUACAAAAAAACUUAUGGUUGGGCGGAUUUUGUUAAUCUCGUAGUUUCUUAACGGUAGAUGUGAGUCUUCUGCUUUGAAACUGAAAAAUCUUCGCUAUUCAAUUUGGUAAGCGUACGCUUGCGUCUAUUUGUGAUUAUAUUCGUUUUUGUAAAAUUAGAAAUCCAUGUUGUUUCAAUCGAAACUAUUAUAUUUAUAAAUACUUCGAUUGAUUUAAGUGUUGGUGUGUUGAUAUGAAUUUUACAAUGAAUCAAUUUAUUAAUUCUUAAGGUUUCCUCCUAUUUAUUGGAUAGCACCGUCUUGUGGACAUUGGAUGGAACGUGGAUGGGUUAAGGUGCACAACGUAUUUUGGCAGUAAGGAAAUUAUCUGCCGUAGAAUUGACUCAUCUACUUUCUUGUGCAAAUUGGAAGCAAGUGAUGAGUAAUUGCCCUGGUCUGGGAGAUGGAGAAUGGUGAUAUUGAAAAUAUAUGGACAUUGAAGCGGUUCCUUCUAUGUGGCUCAUGUUAGACUAAAUGUUAGAAAACAGUUCAACGUAGAAAGGCCAGGAGUAGAUCAAGAUAUAUUGGAAGAUUAAACCAGGGCUAUUAUGAAUUAUAUAUGAAGAAUAGCUUCAAAAUUUCAGACAAUGAGUAUUUGUAUUAUAACUAAUAGCUUUUACUCUCGUUUUGAGGCAAACCUAAUUUAACGAAUCGAAAAUUAAACUUUUAUGCCUUACCUAGUUGUCUUGCACCCUCCACUUUUGAUUGCUAAUCUCAAAUUUGUGGUUAUAUACUUUCUAGAAUUAAAUCUGAAGUAUAGAUAAAGAAUUCUUCUUAGGCCAUCCUAAGAUUGCUAGUGAUAGUUACUUACUUAGGUUCUUUUACAGGUUAAUUAGUUUAUAACAGCAUAGGAGGCUUUACACUAUCCUCUCUGAAAUUAAAUGAAAAGAGGUAGAAUUGGCCAUCACAUCAUUUGGUAAUAUCAAUGAAAAAGGUGUAGUUUUCAUGAUAACGUAUAAAACUUGCUUGUAUGCACUGCUUGCAGAUUUGAUUGGUCAAAUUACUUACUUAUUGAUCGAUUGUGAUUUGGAUAUCUUUGUUUUUACAUGUUCAUUGUUUAUAUCAUCACGGAAUAUGAAUGGAAAUUUUAAAUUUUUUUAUGAUAUAAAUUCAAACUUCCUUGAAUGUUGUGCCAUGUCAUGACUAGCAAAGAAUUUAGUCUGACCAAGGUGCACCAACCGCUUACUGCACGCAAAAUAAGAUCGAAAGUUCAUAGGUUAGUUUUUUACAUGGCUUUUUUACAUGAGUCUAGACAACUUAUUUGCAUUCAUUAGAAACUUUAUAGGUCUUCACAUUGGAUAAACAAUAGACAUUUUCACCAAUGGUUGAGUUGAACUUUAUCAAGCUAGCCUCCUAUCAAUUCCACAAAGUUUAUGUGAACAAAAUGUCUAUUUUAGAUUUCAAAGCUUUGUUAAAUGCUAUAUUGAUGUUUUCUCACCUUCCAAAUUGAGCAAGCUACCUGAAGAUUAAUCGUCCGAACUAAAAGAAAAGAAUCUUUGUGUUUGAUCUUCAAACUUGUAAUUGCAUUCUUCAUUCUUCUGUCUAUAAAAUUUUUGUUAUUCUAUUAUAGUGUAUGUAUUGUUUAUAUUGUAUAGUGGUCAAAGGCCUAUAUUUUUAUACAUAACUGCAUGUUUACCCCUGUUCAAUCCAACAUUUCUUAACAUUUCAUCUAUUUGUGUGUUACUAAAGGAGAAGGGUUGUGAUCAGCUCUUAAUAAGGGGUUUAACUUAUAAUUCUUAUCGCAUUAGUUGAGUUAUUUUCAUCACUUGGCCAGUGUCAAUCGCCAACUACCCGAGAGGGCAAGUAGCAAGGAUAAAGCUAAUGCAGGCUAAAAGGAGUUUGGUUACAAACUCUUCCUUAGCAAGGUAGCUUCAACCUUUUGUAUCCUGAAAGGUGAACAAAUACGGACAAUAGGUGCGGAAAGGUAACCGUCCUUGAAUGAGAAAUCCUAUAUGUAUUAUGAGCCAAGUUUCCUAGUUAUAAUUUUCUUAAGUAAGCAUAGUCAUUUGUAUCCCAAAAGGUGAACAAGUGUGACAUUGAACACUUCGAGAGAAGAUCACCUUAAUCAUGUGUCACUUAUGCAAAUAUAGCGCAUUAAGGUAAUCACAACUCCUGAUCAAUUAAUAGCACAAAGAAUUUCCUUCAAUAUUCAUCUGCAUGCAAGUUAGUUUGAUUUAUUCUCCCCUAGAUUAGUUCACCCUUUGUACGUGAGUCUAUGGUUGUAAAUAGUCAGCGUUAUUAGUGUCACAUUCUUACAGCUUAAUUGUCAUUAGGCCUUAAUGCUAAAGUAAAAUCUCAAACUAACGUCUAAAAUAAUUUCAUGUGUUUGACCCUGGAUCACCCAAGUACACCUAUUGUUUGCUUGCACUUAGGCGAGUAGUAGAAAAUUAAAACGUGUAUUCAACAAAGAUGUAGAAACUAUGCGGUGAAGAAGUACAUAAGAGAAAUUCAAAUGCAAUGAUCAUUACUCAUGACUUAUCGCAUAAGGGCAACACAAGCAAUAUCGAAAGUCAUGACGAGUGCAUUAUGCCCAGUGAUCUGACUUAGUGAAGUAUAGCUAUAAUGGUCUCUCAACACGAAGCUAUUAAGUCCUUUCAUACAAUAACAACCAGUAUACCCCAAAGAUUUUCCAAAAUUAUCACUCACUAAGUAUUUGGCAUACGUGUUAAGUUUUCCUUCCUCAGACUGUCGGGUAUUAAGGCCAAGUAAGAAAGUUAAAGCAGGCAAGCUAGGCGUUUAAGCUAGAGAAGUCGUGCUAGGCGCUGAAGACAUGAAGUCUUUGUUUUAAUAAUUAUUGUAAAAAAAUUUAAUGUACUUUUAGAAAGCAUGAUAUGAAGUAAUAAGAGAGGAGUCGAUUAACAUCUUGGCUUCUACAUUCUUAUCACUUAGUAACUAAGGACAUAAGUUUAGCAUUCUGGCAUUUUGCCUUAGAAACAUUAGGGCUGGUCAAGUCGCGUCGCGAGGUUCAAGAUGCGUUGUGAGGCGAGCUUGACAUGUUUUCUUUUUAUUUCUCUGUUUCCUUUUUGCUUAUAGAACAAAAACCACUAAUUAUUUCUCUUUCAUUUCUCUCUAUUUUCCCAUAUUCAUCUUCUUUUCUUUCCUUAACUUCAAAACAAAAGAAACAUAAACCUUGCUUUCCCAUUUUUCCUUAUAACAAAACAAUAACAACAACCCUUAAUCCUAAGGUUUUGAAAGAACAAAAAGAAUAAGAAAGUCUCAAGUUUACAUCACAAGUAUUUAGUCACUCGAGCUAGUUAACUAGCAAUAACUAAACCAAUCUCUCAAUUGACUUAAGCUUUAAGUUUGUUACUGAUUAAAGAGGAUAAACUUCUGUAAAUUGAUAUCUUCUUAACUUUUAAGAAAUUUAGCCUUUCAUUGUGAAAGUACAAAGCAUGAAUGACUAAAAUGAUGAGUAUUCAUAUUUAUAUUAAGAAGGUAACAUUUUUCAAUCCUUUAAUUAAUAAUACAAAUACAAAUAAGAAUGAAAAUCAAAAUGGUAGCAAGAGAUUGUAUUGAGUGGCAGGUCACAAUUUCUUAUUCCUUUUGGUUUUAAUAUGUCUGCUUCACAUUGACUACAAAAUGGAAUGGAGUAUGACUUCUUUUUGCUUUCCAAGGAAAACUAAGCUCUCACUUAGACUUCAAUGAGAAAACAGAGGUUAAAGAUGACAGGUUGUAGGAGGAAUUUAACAGAGCUUCAACUAAUCUUUUAUUCUAAAGUCUAUAUCUAAUGUCAAGCUCCCGAAGAUUGUUAUAGAAUAAAAAAGGAAUAUUCCAAGUAUCUUUCUUCUGCUAGUCUGACAUCUAGCAUUAAAUUUCAUGUUAUGUUGUGUUGCCUUAUCGGGUUACAAAUUUAUUUGCUCUAGUACAGUUUAGUCGAAGUUGGCUACCGACUUACUAAUUCGAAGGCUACCAACCACAUUUGUCGUUUUGUGUUUCCAUUGUAUGGUGUUCUUGAACUUGUAGAAAUACAAGUUAUUAUAGUCUUUUAUGUAAAAUAAUGAAAUCUAAUUGCAUGAGAAUAGAAGAAAACAAGGAAAAAAGUAGGCUAUUUGAUUAAUCUAUGAAUAACAUGAUACAAAAGACCUCAUCCCUAUUUUAUUUUGUUUUAGUACUCUAAUCGCAGGAUUGCAGGCAAAAGAAGUGAAGCUCAGCGAUAUAAUGUUUACUUGAGGAGACGCAUCCAAACUACGCGGCGACAAAAAAGCAAGCUAGGUGAUAUGAGGCACUUGCAGACAAAUUUGGUUGGCACAAAAGCCUGGAAAAGGGAAAAAGGACAUCUGUGCGGCGCCAUGCAGCUUUUUUAGAGGCACUAAUGACGUGUGACAUCCUAUCAACAUCAAUUCUCGCCUAUAAAUAGAAAAUCUCACGUUGUACACAAAUUGGCUAGAGAACAAGUUCUUUAUAUCGUCUUACUUCUCUCUUCCCCUAAUUUUUAGGUGAGAGUCUAGAACAAAGAGAGAGAGAGUUCAUCCCAUUCAUCUUACCCCUCACUAAAUAGGCAAAAAUUAUAGGCGAACAAUAUGAGAAAUCGAACUUUAAGGCAUAACACCUUCUUCUGUAAUUCAUUUGAUAUUUUUAAUGUAUGGUUUUGUAAUUUGUACCUCAUAGCCGAAAGGCCUAAAGUUAUUUUAUUCAAAGCAAUGCAUUUCUUCUUUCAUUCCCCCAUUUUUCUGUUACUUUCUCCUUUUCAAUUUGUUUGAUUAACUUGUUAGUAAUGGAAUGUGUUUUUAAUACCUAGAGAAUCAGUGUUUGUGUUAUAAGUUUUGUUGAGUUAAACAUGAUGUCAAAGCAUUGUUUAUUCAAGAGAAGAACAAUGAAAUUGAUUGUUAUCACUUGACAAGUGAGAACACACAUCUAGCUAAGCAAGUGGCGCGAAGGUUGUAGCGAUACAAUCUUUUUGUCCAGUUUUUUCUUUGCAUACAUUGCAAAGAUGCUAAUGUGUGUGGUGAAAGCACCGAGAGGUUGCCCUCCUUAAUCAAGGAGAAAUUACUUAUAAUGCAUAUAAAAUGAUUAGAUAUAAAUCAUAGAUUAACUUUGUGUAUUUGGAUCCUGAGAUCAUAUAUUAACUUUGUGUAUUUGGAUCCUGAGAAGCAAGCAAGUAUGGCAAAGGCGCCGAGAGGUUCGCUCACCCAAAGUUAAUUAAUAAAUAUCGCCUUGAAUUAUUUAAGCACAAUUCUUUGUGUUACGAUUCCUUGUGUUACGAUAAUUAAACUAUUCUUACAUCUCCAUGUCUAGAAAUGAGUUCAAUGUCCAUUUUUACCGUCUAUUCAUACUUACCUUGCACCACCAAGCAUCUUAGUGUAAAUAUUUAGAAUAAGAAUAUGUUGUGCAUAAUUUUACUAUAUAGUUAUAUCACAUGAAUUAGUUGCAUGAUAAGAUAAUUAGUUGCUUAAAUUUCUUGUGUUCGAUGAUAACGUGCAUAAAUGACCAUUAUUAUAGCCCUUUUUAUUAGAAUAAUGGUGUUAAAACGAAUAAGGGUGCUUAGAACGCAUAACUUAUGCUGGAAAGGCAUAAAUAUACUUAGAAAUAUGGCUUACAUAAAUGUAGUUCCAAAUCCUCCUCUCAAUGAUCACAACCAACUAGCUCUUGCCUAUCACUUAACAACUCCAGGCGAUGAACCUAAACAUCACAUGAGAAAAGCUCACAAGAAGACAAGAAUCGUAGUUGGAGUGAUGUGACUUCACAGGGGUAGAUAAUAGCACUAACACACUCAGAUGAAUAGAAUUUUUUCGCCGAAAAGCAGUCUAUACAAGCACUUCAUUCCCACUGAGAGAGAGGGGGCCCAAAUAGGCCCGAGGCUCAAAUAGGCCGAGAGAGAGAGAGACUCAAAAUGGACGAAGAAAAAUCAUAGAGAAAAAGAGAACUGAAACAAGCUAUCUGGAGAAUAUGCAGUCGUGAUAAAAAAAAGGUCAUUUGUUGUUGAACUCUUAACUUGUAGUAAUGUCUUCCAUUCUUUAUUUCAUUAUAAUGUAUGUAUUGUUCAUAUUGUAUAGUGGUUGAAUACCUAUAUUCUUUAUACAUUGAUUACUUGUUUAUACAUUUUCAAUCCAUUAUUUCUUAACUUCUCAUAAAUCUUUGUGUUAUUAAAUGAGGAGAGUUGUGAUAAGUUCUUGAUAAAGAGUUCAACUUAUAAACCUUAUUGCAUUAGUUGAGUUAUGUUCAUCACUUGACCAGUGUAAAUCACCAACUGUCCAAAAGGGUAAGUAGCAAGGAUAAAACUAAUACGCGCGAGGAGUUUGGUGACAAAAUUCACCUUAGUGAAGUAGCUUCCAAAAUUUGUAUCACGAAAGGAGAACAAGUGCGAACAAUAGGCACCAAGAGCCUGUCGUCCUUAAAUGAGAAGUUCUAUAAGUAUUACGAGUCACAAUCUCUAGGUAUAAUCUACUCAAGCAAGCAUAGUCAUUUGUAUCCCAAAAGGCAAACAAGUGUGGUGUUUAAACACUUUGAGAGAAGAUCGCCUUAAUCAUGUGCUGAUUAUGCAAUUAUAACGCAUUAAGACUAUCACAACAGUUACGCAUCUAAUAGUACAUAGAAUUUCCUUCACCUAAAUGAGUUUGACCCAUUUUCCGCCUAACUUUAAUUUACUCUUUGGGCAUGAUCAAGCUGUAAAUAAGUAGUCGUAGUUAGCAUUACAUUAUUUCUAUUUAAUUUCCAUAAAGCCUAAACGAUAAAUAAAACCUAGAACUAACAUCUAUAAUUCCCUAGUUCGACCCUGGAUGACCCAAGUAAACCUAUUGUUCACUUGCACUUGGAUGAGCAAUAGGAAAAUUUGUACCCAACCAAGACUUAAGAACGGUUCAAUUAAGAAAUACAUGGGAGCACCUCAAAUGCAAUGAUCAUGAUUUAUGACUCAUCACCCAAAAUUAAGAGCAAAUGAUACCAAAAGUUGUGAUGAGUGCAUUAAGUGCAAUGACCUGACUUAGUGACGUAUUGCAAUUGCAUUAUACACACACAAAAUUAUUAAGUCCAAACUAACUCCAUUCGACCCUAGACUUACCAGAAAAUCUCUCUUUGCUUACAUUUGGACGAAAACCUGCAUGACAUGCAUAUUGUUCGCACGAGAUUUCCGGAGAAAUUUAAUUCGUGGACUUGAACUUGGGUUGAUGUUGUAUUUUUGUUGAUUUGAUGCGAUGCGGUUCAAUCUCUAGAAUUUGAUCCUCUGAUUCUCUCUCAACUGUAUGUCUACGCUUGAUUUGGAGGAAGCGGAGCACGUGAUGUUCUUGAAGUUUGUUGAACGUCUACGCUUGAUUUGGAGAAGCGGAGCACGUGAUGUUCUUGAAGUUUGUUGAACGUCUACGCUUGAUUUGGAGAAGCGGACCACGUGAUGUUCUUCAAGUUGGUUGAAUGCUUACGCUUGAUUUGAGGAAGCGGAGCACGUGAUGUUCUUGAAGUUGGAGUCUUGGAAGAAAGUUUGUAUCUUCAAAACAGCUUCAAUCUUUGAGGGUGGUCAACUUCAGAAGUUAGGGAGUCUUCUAGCUUUUGGAAGAAUUCUCUCUGGAUCUUCUAGAGUCAAAAUUUUCCAACCUCUACAAAUGAGGAGAAUUUCUCUAUUUAUAGAAUUCACUGGUGAGCUUUAUGGGUUUGAACCUGGUUAGUCCAUGGACCAGACCCAUGGGCUCAACCAUAUGGACUUAGGUUAUAUUUAGUCUUUGGGCUCAAUUAAGCUUAUUUUUUGGCUUAAUUGAACUUAGUCCAAGUAAAUAAUAUUUAAUUGAACUAAAAUGAUUAACUUAAUCCAACGAUUAAUAUGAAAACAUGUGGCAUUCUUAGAAUGACCAAUUUAUUUAUUUAACUCUUUAAUUUGGAGCAUGUGUCAAUUUUAAUUAGUCCCCAAAUUUAAUUAUUUGUUACUUUUCAUCAUUAACUUAAUAAAUGAUGUGGCAACUUGUGAUUGGUCUCAAAAUUUCUUAUUCAACAAAUGCCCGUUUUCGAGAUUUAUGCACGUAUAUGGGUGAAUGAAUCUCGGAAAAGAUAAAUUUGAAGUCAAAGUACGAGCUUCUUUUUUUUUUUACUCAAUUCAACAUAUCAAAUUAAUCAAACUAUGAAUUUAGUACGUGAGUUUGAUUUAAAUUUAAAAUAAGGGUUGAAAUAUGGCCAAACCUUAAAAAAAUUCAAAGUUUUAUUCCCAACUUAAUUUUAUUGGAGGAUAAAAAAAAUUUAAUAUGAUGAUUUUUUUUUUAAGUAAAAUUUGGAAUAUAACCAAAAUUUUAAUUUUGAAAUAAGGAUAAAGUUUCUACCGUACCUUAAUUUAUCUUGGGGAUGCAUAAGAAUUUGGAAUGACCAAUUUUAAUUUGAGAUAAAAAAUCAGGUCCUCAAUCUUAGGUAAAGCUUGAUUUAUGGCUCCGAUUUAAAUUCAUGAUAAAAAGGAGGUCAUAUAUGCAAGUUAAUUUAACUUGAAUUUUGAAAUUGAGAAUAUUUAUCUAUAUAUAUAUAUAUAUAUAUUUAUAUAUAUAUAUAUAUAUAGAUAUUUAAAUGUUGAAAUUUUUAAAUAUUUUAAAUAUCUCAAUAAAAGUUAAACUUGAGAUUUAUCCAACAAGAAAAAAAAAUUAAAAUAAAAUAAGAUAAUUGGAUUAUCUUUUCUUUAUAUAUAUAUAUAUAUAUUUAAAAUCAAUCCUAUUCCUUUUAGGAAUUGGAUUUGUUUUUUUUAAAAAAAAAAAAUAAUUAAAUAUCAUUCCUAAUCCUUUUAGGAAUUGGAUUUGUUGGACUUAUAAAUAGACUCACACCCUACUCACUUAUACCUCAUCCAACGCUUAUUCCUCGUCCAAUCAGCAGAAAGGUAUAGAAAACUUUUCUUCUCCCUUUCUCUUUUUUUUGUGUGUGUUUUUUUUAUUUGUUUUUUUUAUUCUGUUUUGUUUUGCUUUUUUGUUUUUUUGUUUUUUUUGUGUUUUGUUUUGUUUUGUUUUUUUGUUUUUUUUGUUUUUGUUUUGUUUUUUUUUUUUUUUUACAGGAAUGACUUUGUCGAGCUUCUUCUAGGGACGAUCGGGCUUUUGCCGUCAGAUCUAUCACCCUAGUAGGAGAGAUCGACUCCGUCAUCGUCGGGCUUCAAUCUUCGUUUGCAGAAAUGACUUUGUUGAGCUUCUUCUAGGGACGAUCGGGCUUUUGCCGUCAGAUCUAUCGCCCUAGUAGGAGAGAUCGACUCUGUCAUCGUCGGGCUUCAAUCUUCGUUUGCAGAAAUAACUUUGUUGAGCUUCUUCUAGAGACGAUUGGGCUUUUGCCGUCAGAUCUAUCGCCCUAGUAGGAGAGAUCGACUCUGUCAUCGUCGGGCUUCAAUCUUCGUUUGCAGAAAUGACUUUGUUGAGCUUCUUCUAGGGACGAUCGAGCUUUUGCCGUCAGAUCUAUCGCCCUAGUAGGAGAGAUCGACUCUGUCAUCGUCGGGCUUCAAUCUUCGUUUGCAGAAAUGACUUUGUUGAGCUUCUUCUAGGGACGAUCGGGCUUUUGCCGUCAGAUCUAUCGCCCUAGUAGGAGAGAUCAACUCUGUCAUCGUCGGGCUUCAAUCUUCGUUUGCUUUUUCUUCUUCUUGUUCUUCUUUCUUUUUGUUUUUUCUUCCUUUGCUUCUUUCUUUUUUUUGUUUUCUUCUUCUUCUUUCUUUUUGUUUUUUUGUUUUUCUUUCUUUUUUGGUUGUGGUACCAGGGAGAAGAUGAAGAUGAAUCAUCUAGCUUGCGACACCUUAGAGCUGAUGAAAAUGAAUUCCAUCGGCCGGGUUGCGACACCUGUUAGAUGAUAAAGAUGAAUACUCUCAGCUACGACAUAUAGGAGAAGAUGAAGAUGAAUCCUCUCGGCUAUGACAUGUGGGAGGAGAUGAAGAUGAAUUCUCUUCAGUUGCAGCACUUGGAAGAAGAUGAAGAUGAAUCCUCUCAGCUAUGACAUAUGAGAGAAGAUGAAGAUGAAUUCUCUCGGCUAUGACAUAUGGAAGGAGAUGAAUCCUCUCGACUAUGACAUAUGAGAGGAGAUGAAGAUGAAUCCUAUUCAAUUGCAGCACCUGGGAGAAGAUGAAGAUAAAUCCUCUCGGCUAUGACAUAUGGGAGAAGAUGAAGAUGAAUCCUCUCGGCUAUGACAUAUGAGAGAAGAUGAAUCAUUUUCGAUUGCAGCACCUGGGAGAAGAUGAAGAUGAAUCUUCUCAACUAUGACAUAUAAGAGAAGAUGAAGAUGAAUCCUCUUUGAUUGUAGCACCUAGAAGAAGAUGAAGGUGAAUCCUUCCGGCUACGACAUAUGAAAGAAGAUGAAGAUGAAUCCUCUUUGGUUGCAACUCCUAAAAGAAGAUGAAGAUGAAUCUUCUUUGGUUGCGACACCUGAAAGAAGAUGAAGGUGAAUCUUCUCGGUUGCGACUCUUAGGAGAAGAUGAAGAUGAAUCUUCUCAGUUGCAAUUCUUAGGAGAAGAUGAAGAUGAAUCCUCUCGGUUGUAGCACCUAGAAGAAGAUGAAGGUGAAUCCUUCCGGCUACGUCAUAUGAAAGAAGAUGAAGAUGAAUCCUCUUUGGUUGCAGCACCUGGAAGAAGAUAAAGAUGAAUCUUCUUUGGUUGCGACACCUGAAAGAAGAUGAAGGUGAAUCUUCUCGGUUGCGACUCUUAGGAGAAGAUGAUGAUGAAUCUUCUCAGUUGCAAUUCUUAGGAGAAGAUGAAGAUGAAUCCUCUCGGUUGCAACACAUAGGAGAAGACAAAGAUGAAUCCUCUCACUUGCGACACCUUAGAGCAGAUGAAGAUGAAUCAUCUUCGGUUGUUACACCUGAGAGAAGAUGAAAAUGAAUCUUCUCGAUUGCGACUCCUAGGUGAAGAUGAAGAUGAAUCAUCUCGGUUGUAACACAUGGAGGAAGACAAAGAUGAAUCCUCUCACUUGCGACACCUUAGAGCAGAUGAAGAUGAAUCAUCUUCGAUUGCAACACUUAGAAGAAGAUGAAGAUGAAUCCUCUUCGGUUGCAACACCUAAGAGAAUAUGAAGAUGAAUCCUCUUCGGUUGCAACACCUAAGAGAAGAUGAAGAUGAAUCUUCUCGGUUGCGAUUCCUAGGAGAAGAUGAAGAUGAAUCCUCUCGAUUGCAACACAUGGGAGAAGAAAAAGAUGAAUCCUCUCACUUGCCACACCUUAGAGCAAAUGAAGAUGAAUCCUCUUCGGUUGUAGCACUUGGGAGAAGAUGAAGAUGAAUCCUCUUCAGUUGCUACACCUGAGAGAAGAUAAAAAUGAAUCUUCUCGGUUGCGGUUCCUAGGAGAAGAUGAAGCAGAGGUUAAAGCUUUAGCAUUGUAUGCAUCUUCUUCAAGAGGCAGAAACGAUGUUACACUGUCGUUUUCAUCUUGGAGAGGCGAAGGCAGAGCUGCCCGAUCGUCGUCCUAUCGAAGUUGUACCAUCGUUAUCCUCUCAAAGAGCUGGAGCUGCAGCAUCGAUGAAGCCUUCAAACUUGAAUAUAAGGAAUCAUCAAUGAAACCUUUAUGCUUGAAUAUGAGGGAUCAUUAAUGACGCCUUUGAGCUUGAUUUUGAGAUUUUUUUUUUUCUUUUUACAUGCACUCAACUUGUACAUAGUCUUUGCACGAAGUUUGUACAUCUUCAAUUUAUUUCAUCUCAUUGUUACUAGAGAUCAUCUUGAAUUUAGGGAUUUGCCCCCAAUUUGUUAUGAUUCCUUAGUAGAGAUGAACACCCUUUGAAGAAAAGAAUUAACUCACGACGUAGUUCAAGGUUUUUUUUUUUAUAAUGGUGGACUGAACUUAAAGUUUUCUUUAAGUUGCCUACGUACCCUUUAUAAUGUAGGGAUCAAGUCAUAACGUAGUUCAACUUUUUUUUUGCUGGACUGGGCUUAAGGUUUUCCUUAAGCUGCCUACGUACCCUUUAUAAUAUAGGGAUCAAGUCAUAACGUAGUUCAACUUUUUUUUUGCUGGACUGGGCUUAAGGUUUUCCUUAAGCUGCCUACGUACCCUUUAUAAUAUAGGGAUCAAGUCAUAACGUAGUUCAAUUUUUUUUGCUUUUUUUUUUUUUUUAACAAAAUUAAGCAUAAAAUUUUUAAAGAAAUUUACCAUUGAUUGGGCCAAUUUGUAGUCCGUCUUGAUCAACGAUCUUGUAUGCGCCAUUUGUAUAAACUUCUUUAAGAAUGUAGGGUCCAUCCCAUUUAGGUGUGAACUUAUUUCCUGUAUGCCUUGUUGUGAUGAUCGGUCUCCUUACGGCAAGUACUAGAUCACCGACUUGAAAGGAGCGAGGUUUAACGUGUUUAUCAAAAGCUUUGGACAUUCUCGCUUGAUAACAUUCCAAUGCUUGCUGAGCCUCUAAUCGCUUUUCGUCAAGUGCUUCUAAUUCUUGAAGACGUAACUUCACAUUAUCUUCGGUAGUCAAUCCCUCUUGUACUGCCAUUCUUAGUGACGGAAUUUCCCUUUCGAGAGGAAGGACAGCCUCCACACCGUAAACAAGCGAAUAUGGUGUAACCCCUGUAGGGGUGCGAUGAGUCGUCCGAUAAGCCCAUAAUGCCUCGCCGAUCUUUUCUUGCCAAUCCCUCUUUGACUUGGAGACAAUUUUCUUUAAAAGAUUACACAAUGUUUUGUUGAAUGCUUCUGCUAGUCCAUUCGCAGCUGCGUUGUACAUGGAUGACUUAUAUUGCUUGAAUUUGAAUUUUUCACAUAACUUGUCCAUCAUACUAUUGGAGAAUUGCUUUCCAUUAUCCGUCACGAUUCGAUGUGGAAUACCGUAUCGAUAGAUGAUGUGUGUUCGAAUAAAGUCUGCCACGUUCUCCUUCUUGGCUUCUCUCAAUGAAAUGGCCUCAGCCCACCUUGAAAAAUAGUCUGUUGCUGCUAGGAUAUAAGAAUGUCCUGCUGAUGAUUUUGGUGUAAUGGGGCCAACCAGAUCGAGUCCCCAAGCCUCAAAAGGCCAAGAAGCCACAGUUGGAUGAAGAGGUUCUGGAGGUUGGUGUAUGAAGUUUGCAUGGUAUUGACAAGGCUCACACUUCUUCACAUAGUCUAUUGAAUCUUGGAUCAUCUUAGGCCAGUAGUAGCCCAUUCUUCUUAGCUGGAAUUGAAGCUUUGGUCCCGAUUGAUGUGCUCCACAAACACCUGCAUGUACUUCCUUUAGAGCUUUUACCGAAUCUUCCUUUCCGAGACAUCGAAGGAAGAGCCCUUCAAGAGAACGGCGAUAUAAAGUUCCCUUGUAAUAAAUGAAGUGUGCUGCCCUUCUUCGUAUCUCAAUUUUAUGACGAGAAUCCUUUGGAAGCUUUCCAUGUUCAAGAUACUCUAUGAUGGGUUGACGCCAAUCUUCUUCAUCAAUCAAAUAGGAUGUUGCCAUGUUCACUUCCUGACAUUCAGGCCUAACUGGGGGUAUAAUCCAUCGUUGACAAAGUGGUAUGUUCAGAGUUACAUCAUCUGGCAUGGUCAAGGCCGUGGCUAAAUUUGCCAAUGCAUCCGCUCUCUUAUUUUCUACUCUAGGGACAUGUUCUAACAUCACAUUAUCAAACUUUUCCAUCAAUUGUCGAGCAUAAGCAAAAUAUGGCUUCAAGUCUUCAUGUUUCACGUCAUAUUGAAGCGAGAGUUGAUUGAUUAUCAAUUUUGAAUCACCAUAGACCUCUAUGAAUGACACUCCGAUUUCUAAUGCUAUUUGAAGGCCAAUUAUCAAAGCCUGAUAUUCAGCCACAUUGUUUGAACACAAUUCGGAAAGUGCAAAGCUAUAAGGCAACAUAUGCUUCUCAGGAGAAAUGAGGACAAUGCCUGCCCCCGCACCACUUCUUCGAGCUGCACCAUCGAAGUACAUAGUCCAAGGUUCCAUAACUUCUGUGAAGAAAACCUCAUCGUCUGGUAGGUCAUCACAUAACUUCCAAUCCGAAGGAAUUGGGUGGUCUGCUAAAAAGUCUGCUAGCGCUUGUCCUUUUAUCGCCUUUUGGGGAAUAUAGACAAUGUCAUAUUGUUGGAGUAGAACCGCCCAUUUGGCUAAGCGUCCAGCGAUGAUUGGCCUGGAUAGAACAUACUUUAUAGGGUCUGCUUUUGCCACUAGAUGAACCGUGAAGGCCUGCAUAUAAUGCCUCAACUUAUCAAUGGCAAAGAAAAGUGCAAGACACAUCUUUUCGAUAGGAGAAUAGUUAACUUCAGCCCCAAUUAAUGUUCUGCUUAGAUAGUAGAGAGAACGCUCCUUUCCCUUUACCUCUUCUUGUGCCAGUAAUGCUCCUAAGGACCUUUCUUGUGCAGCAAUGUACAAUAUUAGUGGUUUGUCAGGUACUGGAGCUCCCAGCACUGGGGGAGUAAGCAAGUAUUUCUUUAUGCUAUCAAAAGCGUUCUGACAAGCUUCAUCCCACACAAAAUUUUCUCCUUUUCUCAUCAACUUUUGAAAAGGUUGACACCGACCGGCCAAGUUAGAGAUGAACCUUCGGAUGUAAGCCAAUCGUCCUUGGAGACUUCUUAGGUCAUGCAAACUUUUAGGUCUUGACAUCUUCUGAAUGGCAUCAAUCUUGGACUGGUCUAUUUCGAUCCCUCGAUGCCUUACAAUGAAGCCAAGAAAUUUUCCUGAAGUUACACCAAACGCACACUUGAGAGGGUUCAUCCUUAGCUGAUAUUUUCGCAAGCGAUCAAACACGACUUUUAGAUCCUUCAAAUGGUCUUGUCGUCUCUUUGUUUUGACUACAAGAUCAUCAACAUAACAUUCAACAUACCUGUGCAACAUAUCAUCAAACACUUUCUGCAUGGCACGUUGAUAAGUAGCGCCGGCAUUUUUCAAUCCAAAGGGCAUCACCUUGUAACAGUAUAUUCCCUUUGGAGUUCUGAAAGCUGUCAUUUCUUCAUCUGAGAGGGCCAUCCGUAUUUGAUUAUAUCCAGACGACCCAUCCAUAAACGACAACGCCUCGUGUCCAGUAGUUGCAUCAACCAUGAUUUCGGUGAUGGGCAAGGGAAAAUCAUCUUUAGGGCAUGCAUUAUUCAGAUCGCGAAAGUCUACACAAACGCGAAGUUGUCCAUUUUUUUUUCUAACAGGGACAAUGUUUGCUAUCCACGUUGGAUAUUUGACCUCGCGAAUGAAUCCUGCUUCGAUCAACUUGUUGACUUCCACCUCGAUUUGAGGGAUAAGCUCCGGUCGAAAACGUCGUUGUGCUUGUUUAAUCGGUCGAUAUCCAGGUUUAAUUGCAAGAUGAUGGACUGCUACUUUUGGGUCAAGUCCUGGCAUCUCCUUGUACGACCACGCAAAGAUGUCCCUGUAUUCGGUGAGCAAACUCAUAUAUUUAUCCACCUCUUCGUUAGAGAGGGACGCACUAAUGAAAGUCGGACGUGGUUCCUCUAUUGUACCAAGGUUCACCUCUUUUAGCUCGUCUACAGUAGAUUGGCCACCAUCCUCUAAACUUUGUGGGGCAUUUUCUGCGUCUUCUUCAUGAGUUCCAGUCUCUGAUUCCUCAAUAAUGGUGAUGUGAUGACAUGAAGUUUCACAUUCCCCUUGUUCCGACCCUUCUUUUUCAGGAUUCGUUAGUAUAACAUCAUGUCUUUUUACCUUUAACGAACCUUGACUUGUAUUGAGAGUAACAAAAGUUUUUCUUUUCAUGCGAGAAGGAACGUUGCUAUGAAUUUCUCCAUUUUCCUUUGUCUCGCAAGGAAACUUCUUACUACGAUAAUUAUCGACAUCUGUAUGCUUAAUUCGACGCCAAACUUUCACACGAGACAUUGGUUCCUUCUUCUUUGUAUCUAUGUUGGAAUCAAUGUUGUCGUGUGAUCCUUUAUCCCCGAGAUGAUUAAAAAUCGGAGCACGGGGUGCUUGUACAUUUUUCUUUUUAGACACACCUAGCCUUUCAAAGGCUGAUGGUCUUGUAGUUGUCAAGGCAUGGCAUGUGCUUUCUUCCUUUAUGGGAGUCGUAGUUAGCCUUCGAAAGACCGAAUGUCUCUCAAGGUUUGGUACUGACUGGAGCCUUUCUCUUUCUGCCUCUGUCAUGCUUAGCCUUUCAAAUACUACGGGACGUGCAACAGAUGGUCUAAUUCGAUCAAAUACUGAGAUUCUCUGAUUAUCACCUUCUUUUACGUCAGUAUUGUCAUCCUCCUCUAUAGUUAUAUGAUUGAUGUCAACCACUUUUUCCUUCCCCUUUUUAGUUAUACGGAUCGGUUCUGGCGACUUGUAUCCGAGUCCUUUUCUCGACACGGGUAUAGAAUGUCCUUCCCGUAGAAGCUUCUUUUGAGUUGAGGAGAGCUCAGGUCGGUCAUGAAUUUCCAAGCUUUUAAACUCGGUGUGAGCUGUGAAGUCAUAACCUGCUUUCGCCAUCAAUUUGUAAGCCUUGGGGUCGAAUCCGUCUUUCGUUCGCCUUUGGGGCAAGUUUGCUUCCACCAGAUCUACCUUUACCUCCUGCUUCGCUAUCUUAGUUAGUGGUGUAGUGAAGCUUUCUUUUAUGAUUUCGAUGUCCCCAACUUUCAAACCUUUUGGAGACUCCAUGAAUGGUGAUUCGCCUUUCUUGCGCCUUGACAGAGGGACAUAACGCAAAACUGGUGUGUUUGCAGCAUUUUCAUUCUUCAAGAUCAUACCCUUUGUGCUGCGAGUGUAUGCUUCACCCUUUCCAGAGUUAAAGGUUCUCGCACUUUCAUGUGGUUCUGUGGUUGCGAGUGAUUUCAGUUGUGAAUUAUCUUCUCCUUUUGUAAGAGGGGUUUCUGCAGGCAAAACUUCUAAAAUAUUAUUAUUCUUUGAAUAAAACUUUGCAUCUGCGAAGUGAGACUCAGCUUCUGAGAAUGGAUUAGAGUCGGCUUCAACCUUCUUUACACCGUCCUGAUAAAAUUUGAAGCACUGAUGCAGUGUUGAAGUUACUACUCCGUUUCCAUGAAUCCAAGGACGCCCUAGUAACAACUUGUAAGUAGUCCUUGAGUCUAUGACAUGAAACAAUGCACUGGCCUUUAGGUCGCCAAUUAUGAGUUCUAACCGUAUCAUGCCUAUUGCUCUUUGGCUACCUUGGUUAAAACCUUGAAUUACUAGCUUGCUAUUUGAGAGCUCGUCCAUCAAGAUGCCUAAUUGCCACAUAGUCGACUUUGGCAUUAUGUUGACAGCUGAGCCAUUAUCAAUGAGGAUUCGAUCGACUCUCUGUUCUCGAACGUAUCCAGAAACAUACAAAGGUCUAUUAUGAAGUUUAGAUCCCAACAACAAAUCCUCAUCUGAGAAGUCUAUAGACAUACAAUAAGAACCACUCUCAUAUGUCAUAGUCGGAGUACUCGAACUUGAUGCUCUUGAAUUUAGCAAUGCAUCAAUAAGGAUGGUUUUGGUCUCUUGAGGAAGUGAUAAUAGAUCCUCUACAUUAAACCUUGAAAGGUCUUUUGAUACUCCCUCUCCUUCUAGUGAUCUUGGAGGGAUUAUUUCUUCCUCCGUUGUGUUGAUAGCAUGACACGCAACGACUUCUGGGUCUUCAUCCUGAUGAUCACAAAGGAAGCUUUUUGGAAGGAAGUCUGCCAAGGUCACUAAGCGUUGAGGUCGAGAGAAAUUCAUGUCUUCAUUAUGUACGAGCUUAAGCUUAUGAGUCUUCUUCUUUUUCUUAUUCUUUUGAGUCUUAUUUCCUCUUCUAUAGUUUUGGUAAGAGCGAGACUCUCUUUGGGUCGGGAUCGACUGUCUUUUCUUUCGGUGGGUCACCACUAUCCACCCUUCAUCGUCUUCUUCGAUUGGUCUUUUCUCUCCUUGAGGAUCCUCGUAUGAGAUUUCCUGAAAGAAUUGGACAACUAUAGGCUCAAAGGUCCCGAACUGGACCAAGCUUUUCCUUUGCUCAAAAAUCAAUCUCGACGAAGAAGCCUCAGACAUUAUCGUCACUUCAGCGUGGUUUGUUUGAGCUACUUCCUCCAAAUCUAGCUCAAUCCUUUUCUCACGAGCCAACCUUAGAAUUAGCUCCUUCAGCACGAAGCAUUUCUCUACUGGAUGACUGAUGACCCGAUGAUACUUGCAGUAAUUGGGAUCAUCUACCUUUCCUGCUUGCUCAGGUCGUUUACAUUCUGGCAGCUGGAUCAGCUGCUUCUCUAGUAGUUGCUCUAGCAUGUCAGCGAUAUCUGAAUCAGGAAAUGGGUAAACUUUUUCCUGCCUUUCUUUUAAAGUCAGACGUCGCCUUUCGCUUCCAUCAUCCUUCUUUUCAACCCUCGCUUCCUUUCCUUUGGAGAAUUUCAGCGGGGUUGUGUUUACGACCAUAGAUUCUUUCGCGGUGCUUUUCACUAUCUUUUCAGCACCUUUCAUCUCUUUCUUAUCUUUCUUUACUUCAGGAACAAGAAAAUCUUUAGUUCCUCUACUGGCGAUGCUCAACUCCAUAUCAUGAGCUCGAGUUGCCAGUUCUUCAAAUGUGCGGGGCUUUAUUCCCUGCAAAAUGUAGAGGAGUCCCCAGUGCAUGCCUUGGGUGCACAUUUCUACAGCCGACAGUUCGGUGAGCCGAUCUUUACAGUCAAGACUUAGAGCUCUCCAUCUAUUGAUGUAGUCGAUGACUGGUUCUCCCUUUCUUUGUUUCGUAUUUGUAAGCUCCAUCAUGCUUACAGUACGCCUGGUGCUGUAGAAGCGAUUGAGAAACUCCUUUUCUAGUUGUUCCCAACUCUCAAUGCUUUCUGGCUCCAGAUCAGUAUACCAUUCAAAAGCAUUUCCUUUCAAGCUUCGAACAAAUUGUCUGACUAGUUGAUCUCCUCUUGAUCCUGCAUUCUCACAUGUUUCGACGAAGUGAGCAACGUGCUGUUUUGGAUUGCCCUUUCCGUCAAACUGCUGGAAUUUUGGAGGCUGAUAUCCAAGCGGCAUUCUCAAGUUGUCGAUUCUUUUGGUGUAUGGUUUAGAGUACAUGAAAGAAGUCUGAGAUGGGCCUCCAUAUUGUGCUCUGAUGGAGCUUGUGAUCAUAUCUUGUAAUUGUUGAACCGAGAGAGAAGCCACAGAAGUUGAUUGUUGUUGUGGCUGAUUUUCUUGUACCACGUUCUUCCCUUUGUCAUCAACUUUAACGACAGGAGUUUGACUCGAUUCAGCAGUUUCACGAGUCUGCAUCUGCUCCUUUAAAGCUGCAAUUUCGUGGUCUCGUUCAUCAACAACCUUCAUCAGGAGAUUAAUUUUUCUCUCCAUCUCCGCCAUGGCAGUCUCGACUGCUACAUCAGCCAUCAUGACGGACAUCACAUCUGGGUGUGCUUCUUUCAGUGACCUGCUAGAGGCAGAAUCAUAAUCAUUAUAUAGAGGAUUUUCCUUGAUGACAAUUCCAGCUUUAGGAGAUUCCAUCAAUUGCUUCAGGAUGCUCUGCGCGAUGGCGGAACCUUGGUCUUGCCCUUGGAUGAUCCCCUUGGAACGACUACGGGUGAUAGGUCCCGUGUAGGUGUCGCUUGCAGCUGAAGAUUUGGAUGCAGCUUUCUUUGAUGCCAUUGAUUUGCUUGUAGAUCUAGAUGAUGAGAGAGAGAUGAGAGGUAGAGAUGGUCCCACUGGGCGUGCCAAUUUGUUCGCACGAGAUUUCCGGAGAAAUUUAAUUCGUGGACUUGAACUUGGGUUGAUGUUGUAUUUUUGUUGAUUUGAUGCGAUGCGGUUCAAUCUCUAGAAUUUGAUCCUCUGAUUCUCUCUCAACUGUAUGUCUACGCUUGAUUUGGAGGAAGCGGAGCACGUGAUGUUCUUGAAGUUUGUUGAACGUCUACGCUUGAUUUGGAGAAGCGGACCACGUGAUGUUCUUCAAGUUGGUUGAAUGCUUACGCUUGAUUUGAGGAAGCGGAGCACAUGAAUUCUCUUCAGUUGCAGCACUUGGAAGAAGAUGAAGAUGAAUCCUCUCAGCUAUGACAUAUGAGAGAAGAUGAAGAUGAAUUCUCUCGGCUAUGACAUAUGGAAGGAGAUGAAUCCUCUCGACUAUGACAUAUGAGAGGAGAUGAAGAUGAAUCCUAUUCAAUUGCAGCACCUGGGAGAAGAUGAAGAUAAAUCCUCUCGGCUAUGACAUAUGGGAGAAGAUGAAGAUGAAUCCUCUCGACUAUGACAUAUGAGAGAAGAUGAAUCAUUUUCGAUUGCAGCACCUGGGAGAAGAUGAAGAUGAAUCUUCUCAACUAUGACAUAUAAGAGAAGAUGAAGAUGAAUCCUCUUUGAUUGUAGCACCUAGAAGAAGAUGAAGGUGAAUCCUUCCGGCUACGACAUAUGAAAGAAGAUGAAGAUGAAUCCUCUUUGGUUGCAACUCCUAAAAGAAGAUGAAGAUGAAUCUUCUUUGGUUGCGACACCUGAAAGAAGAUGAAGGUGAAUCUUCUCGGUUGCGACUCUUAGGAGAAGAUGAAGAUGAAUCUUCUUAGUUGCAAUUCUUAGGAGAAGAUGAAGAUGAAUCCUCUCGGUUGUAGCACCUAGAAGAAGAUGAAGGUGAAUCCUUCCGGCUACGUCAUAUGAAAGAAGAUGAAGAUGAAUCCUCUUUGGUUGCAGCACCUGGAAGAAGAUAAAGAUGAAUCUUCUUUGGUUGCGACACCUGAAAGAAGAUGAAGGUGAAUCUUCUCGGUUGCGACUCUUAGGAGAAGAUGACGAUGAAUCUUCUCAGUUGCAAUUCUUAGGAGAAGAUGAAGAUGAAUCCUCUCGGUUGCAACACAUAGGAGAAGACAAAGACGGCUUCAUUGACGAAUCCAUUCCUACCCAUCCAAAGACAUUUUUUAGCCCCAUAACUGCAAGUUCCUUAGCAACUACUCAGACUACUUCAUCUUCAAUAACCGAAAUCAGUAACCCUUUGUUCAAAGACUGGCAAGCAAAGGACCAAGUGUUAGUGUCCCUCAUCAACCCUACCAUAUCUGUUGAAGCACUAGCAUAUGUAGCUGGAUGAAAACCUUCGAGUCAGGUAUGGAAAACACUUGAAAAGCCUUAUUCUUCAAAUACCAGGACAAAUGUAGUCAACAUAAAGUCAGAUCUACAACAAAUCUUAAAGAAACAAAAUGAGUUGAUUGAUUUGUACAUCAAGAAAAUCAAAGGACUGAAAGACAGGUUAGCAAAUGCAGCAACUAUUGUUGAAGAUGAAGAUCUUGUAAUUUAUGCCCUAAAUGGCCUUCCAAGCGAAUGCAAUGCUUUUCACACCUCAAUGUGAACGAGAUCCUAACCAAUAUGUUUCUCUGAACUGCACGUCCUUCUAAAUUCUGAAGAAUUUAUAAUUGAAAAAUAAACCAAACAUGAAGACUAUUAAUAUAAUUAGAUUAUUCUUAGGAGAUAUAAUUCUAGAGAUAUUAUUUGAUAUUAUUUCCUUAAGUGUAUUUCUCUAUGGUUAUAUAUAGGCUUGUAUCUCUACUAAAUAAUAAAUGAAAUAUAGAUUGAUUCCAUAAAAUCAACAUGGUAUCAGAGCUCUAGGGUUUUCGCCUUAUUGAAUUCUAGCCUCCACAUCCCGUUUGAUCUCUGCCUCCGUUGAUCAUUCAUCAACGGAGGCAGAAUCAUCUCUCAUUAGCCAUCAACGGAGGCAGAAUCAUCUCCCAUUAGCCGAAGCCACCCCUUAGAUCUGCAAAUCUGCCAUUGUCGUUGCACCUUCCCUUUGCCACUCAUUGCUGUUCAAAUCUGCCACUAUCCAAACCCCAGAAACCCCAUUUGUUUUUCACUAGCGUCCGCGGCGGCCAUCUCCUUCAUAGUUCUUCGUCCGACCUCUUGUUUUUCUGUUAGCCAAGCAGCCGAUUGAACCUCUGCCAGUUGAAGCCGAACGCCCAGCCGAAGAGUUUCGAUUUUCUCCGUCGUCCAAGAAGCUCCGCUCGCCGCUGCGUUUCGUUGUCCUUGCUCCAUCUUCUUAUGUUGUCUCGACAAAACUCAUGAAACCCAAUGUCCUCAAAUCCUCGCGUUCGCCUCCAAUCUGUUCCAGACCUGUCUGAUUUCGUUCAGACCCAUUCUUCAUGUCUGCCUUUGAAGUGUAGAUCGAAGCCCAGAUCCAACGACGCCUCCAUUCUGUUUUUGUUCAGAUCCGCUAAGCCUCUCUACUCCAUUCAGUUCAGUUUCCGUUCUGUUCGCCCCUGAUUUCCCGUUUAAUUUGAUUCUGACUUGCUUUAGUUUAGUUCGUUCAGUUCCAUUCUGAUGACGAAACGCUCCUGCCCAACUUAUGAUGGUCAAUCACUCAUCACUUGGAAUAUCGACGGAUAUUCAGAAACACAGAUGAUGAAUACUUUUCAAGAAAUGUUAUUGGCAGCCUCUGCCUUUAGCGCCAGAAAAUCAAUCUACGAAACGGCUUAAAUACUCAUAUUAGGCUUCAAUGGGAACCUAAGAAGCUGGUGGCAUAAUCAGCUUACUGAGCAAGAUCGACAAAGGAUCUUUGACUACAACAAAAACGGUUGUAAAAACUAAAGGCUCUUCAGUUCCAGUACAAACCGAAGAACCAGAUAUGAUGAAUCAAUUACUCUACACAAUGACUAAACAUUUCAUUGGAAGUACCCAGAUUCAUUUCAAUCUAGCAACAGAAGCUCUUCUUGGACUAAAAUGUCAUAAGAUGAGCAGAUACAAAUGGUAUAAAGACACCUUCAUGGCACGUAUGUAUACCAUAACAACAUGCGGUGCUAAUAUCUAGAAACAAAAAUUCGUUGAAGGAUUACCAUAUUAUAUUUCUCAAAAGUUUUAUCAAACUAUGACAGCAAAUUUUGUCAAUCAACAAAUUAAUUGGGCAAAUCUAACUUACGGGGAUAUUUCAUCCACAGUUCAAAUGAUAUGUGUUAAUCUCUGGACAGAGAAUAAACACACAACGAAGGUAAUAAAGAUUCUGACUACCGGAAGGAAUUGGGCACCUUCUACAAACAAUAUGGUCUGUCUAACAGACCAAAGGAGGAGAAGGAAAAGAAGAAAAAGAAGAAUUAUCCUUCUCGAAACAUUAUCUUUAGAAAAAAGAAAUCUAAAGAUCAUGAGCCUCCUCGAAGAAGGAAGCAUAAUUACCAGAAGGGUAAAAGCAAGAAGUAUUACUCUUCAAAAACAAAAACGAUUUGCUAUAAAUGCAAUCAAAGUGGUCAUUAUGCUAAUCGUUGUCCUCUAAGAGACAGAAUCAAUGCCCUCAAAAUAGACGAAGAAACGAAGCAAUCCCUCCUCUAUGCUAUAAGGUCGGAUGAUGACGACUCCUCUCAAACAGAAUCUUCAUUAGAGGAAGAUUUCAUCAACGUUUUACAAGAAGAAGGAUCGUCCUCUAAAGAAGAAUUCUUCUCUCAAAGUGAUUCAAGUGAUGACGAAGGGGCUAUUCCCUGCACCGGACAGUGUGCUGGCCACAUCAAUGUCAUCACUAAAGAUCAAGAAACUCUUUUUGAUCUCAUCGAACAAAUACCAGAUGAAACGGCAAAAAGAACCUGUCUACUCAAAUUGAGGCAAAGUAUAGAAGAGCAAACGCCUCGACAGACGGUUCAUAGUCCGAUAAUGUACUCAUAUCAGAACAUAUUGAACCGAAUAAAGGGCGAAACAAAAAUGCCCAUUCAAGUUAAUGAUCUUCACCAUGAAGUAAAGAUUCUCAAAAAAGAAGUUGCUAAUAACAAGCAACGACUCACCUAUCUUGAAAAUGCUUUCCAAGCAUUCCAAGAAUCUCCAAUCAGGGAAGAAUAUCUGGAAACUUCAAUAAACAAUUUUGAAUGAAAAACCGAGGAAAUGACACUAUUGAUAGAAGAACCAAACUUUAUCAAUAGUAUAAGCAAAGUUCACAAUCAGAAGUGGAUAUCAAAGAUAGUCUUUAAAGUUAAAGACUUUCAACUAGAAACAUUAACCCUCUUUGACUCCGGGGCUGAUCAGAAUGUUAUUCAAGAAGGCCUCGUCCCUUCGAAAUAUUUCGAAAAGACGAAAGAAUCCUUAACUGGAGCAGGAGGAAAUCCUCUCAAUAUUGAGUUCAAAUUAUCCAAAGUGCACAUUUGUAAAGACAAUGUGUGCCUGGUUAAUACUUUCAUUCCGGUCAAAAACCUUAAUGAAGGUAUCAUUCUAGGAACAUCGUUCCUAACUCAAAUAUAUCCUUUUUAUGUCACUAAAGAGGGUAUAAUGUCGAAGAAAUUCGACAAAGAAAUUACUUUUGAGUUUACUCAACCAGUAACUCCCAGGUACAUCUCGAAUAUUGAGGAAGAAAUUCGUCAAUUCAUCAACAGAAUCGCCAAAAAGGAGAAACAAAUAGAGUUUCUUCAAGACGAUAUCAAGGGUUGUAAAGUGGCUUCAGCAAUAAGUAAGCCAUUAAUCCAACAGAAAAUUCAGAACUUCCAGCAACGCCUUGAAAAGGAAGUCUGUUCAAAUCUCCCAAAUGCCUUUUGGGAUAGAAAAAAACAUAUGGUAACUCUACCAUAUAAAGAAGGGUUCAAGGAAUCACAAAUUCCCACAAAAGCCCGACCUAUUCAAAUGAACAGAGAUUUAGUCAAAGUCUGUACAAACGAGAUAUAGGAUCUACUCAAGAAGGGCCUUAUAAGCCCAUCAAAAAGCCCAUGGUCGUGUUCGACCUUUUAUGUCAAUAGCCAGGUCGAAAAAGAGCGUGGUGUACCAAGGCUUGUCAUUAAUUACAAGCCUCUCAACAAAGUUCUCAAAUGGAUUUGGUAUCCAAUUCGUAAUUGGCAAGAUUUGCUAAAAAGAAUUACUCUAGCAAAAUUCUUCUCAAAAUUUGAUAUGAAAUUUGGAUUUUGGCAAAUCCAGAUACACUCAACUGAAUGUUACAAGACGGCUUUCAAUGUUCCAUUCGGAAAAUUCCAAUGGAAUGUCAUGCCAUUCGGAUUGAAUAAUGCUCCGUCCGAAUUUCAGAAGAUAAUGAACGAUAUCUUCAACCCGUAUCAAGAUUUCACAAUAGUAUACAUUGAUGAUAUCUUGGUAUUCUCAAACACUGUUGAUCAACAUUUUAAACAUCUUCGGGUGUUUCUAAAUGUGAUUAAAACAAAUGGUCUUGUGGUUUCUCAACCAAAGAUCAAAUUAUUUCAAGUAAAGAUUAGAUUUCUUGGUUAUGAAAUUAAUCAAGGAAUCAUCAAACCAAUUCAAAGGUCUCUAGAUUUUGCAGAUAAAUUUCCAGACAUAAUACAAGACAAGACUCAGCUACAGAGGUUUCUUGGCUGUAUUAAUUACAUCGGAGAUUUUAUUCGCGAUCUUCGCUCAAUUUGUCUACCUUUAUAUGACAGACUGAAAAGGAAUCCAAAACCAUGGACGGGCGAGCAUACUCGAGCAGUCCAAUCAAUCAAAUCCCUGGCCAAAAGCAUCCCAUGCUUAUCUCUUGUAGAUGAACAAGCCAAACUCAUUAUUGAUACAGAUGGAUCAAAUAUUAGUUACGGAGGCAUCCUCAAAUAGGAACUUAACGGAAAAAUCUUCAUUGCCCGUUAUCAUUCAGGAAUCUGGAACAAUGCAACAAAGAACUAUUCAACAGUAAAAAUGGAAAUACUAGCAAUAGUACUUUCCGUCCAGAAAUUUCAAGGAGAUCUAAUUAACAAGGAAUUCCUUGUUCGAACAGAUUCAAAAGCAAGUAAAUACAUAUUUGAAAAGGAUGUAAAGAAUCUUAUCUCGAAGCAAAUCUUCGCAAGAUGGCACGCAAUCUUAUCUUGCUUUGAUUUCAUAAUUGAGCCUAUAAAAGGCAGUGAGAAUUCACUUGCUGACUACCUCUCAAGAGAGCAUCUCUUGAAGAACUCUUCCUCAGCCCUGAAUUCCUUCUCUCAUGGAACCACCUUCCGGCCGGCAACGGCCACCCAACCAGCGGCAACAGCCGCAAAACAAUCAAAAUAAUAGUCCAAGAAGACAACCACAAACAGUAGCUUCCUCUUCGAGAACUACUUCUCCUAAGGGAAAAUCCACAGCUCAAUCAUCCGCACCGUCGCCGAUGAGUGCAGAAAGCUACGCCAUUGACUUGCAAUUUGAGCAAGUAUCCAGGCGUCGUCAAGGCUCUGCUAACAGAGCAUUGAAAAUCCAAACAGACACUUCGAGUCUUCCCCCUCAUACCGUCAAGCAUGUUGUUGCGACCCUCUAGGUCGACAACUCUAAACAAGCGUGCCGCAUCACCGGCCGCAUCCUCCUCAAGGUCUGCAGUUCCUCGGAAUCCAUCAUCGUAUUCCCAGAUUGUACGGCCAAAGGUCUUCCAACCAAGACCUCCAAUUACUGGUUAUUUCAAAAAACAACAAUGGUAGACCUAACCAUAGAACCAGAAUUCGAUGGACCUUCAGUCCCCGAAGUUUGCAAACAAGUAUUUCCUCAUGGAUUCAACUUUCUUCCGGAGGACCUCUCAAAGACUAGGACAUUCUAUGAGUUCAUCUUAGUUGAUUCUAAGUCAGCUGAAAUCACACAUGUCCCUGAUAAAAAUGAUCCCUCAAAGAUCAUUUACUCAAAGCUAAGAAUUUUUCAAGUACUCACUCCAUCCUAUUGGAAACAGGGGAUGUUCGUGGGAAAGAGAUUUUCACAACCCUUCAAACCACCAUCAUACAAUUACCGUGACUAUACAAAGGCAUGGUACAUCAUAUUUUGGUUACAAGCCUACAACCAUUCAUGGUUUGUGACGUUUUGUAAGCAAGCUUACAAAAUGCACUUUCCCCAAUGGUUUCAAAACUGGUGGAUGUAUUUUGGACUCUUUGAGGAAAUUUUCCCAGUAGAAGUUCAACGUUCAUACCAUCUCUUCCAACAAAGUAUCUACUCGUCUCCUCUCUCAAAGACGUUUAGGUUUGCUUUGUAUUUUCAAAUACCCUGGAUCUUUUGCUGGAAUUUCCAACUUGGACCCUCUGGGAAUUUUAAAGCAUUGAGCAAAUCACGGAUCAAGUGGUGGGAAAAAUUCAGCUAUUCCCAUCUAGAAGUAAGCAAAAUAAAGGACUGGUUUAAAGCCAACGUCCAUCUGCAAGAUAUGACUAGGCAAGAGGAUGAAGCCUUCCUCCUCACCAAAAAUGCAGUCAUGACAACUCUUGCUGGCACAAGUACUCAACAGGAAUUCAAUUCCAUCGUCAACAACGUCGUCGUAGACCUCUCAGACGACCACUCAUUUACUUACCCUAAAGUUGGGAAGGAGUGAUUAUGUUUUCAGCUCUCCACUCGAUUUUGUCCCCAAAAUGUAAGCAUAUUGAGUUGACAAUCUUGCCACUCUCACUCGUACAAAUCAAAGGACAAUCCUUCGCGAACAUGAGUUCAUAAUACACUCAGGAUUAAGACUAAGUUACCUAAGUCAUCCUAAUGAAAUAGAAUUCCAACUAGUUAACGGAGUUACAUCUAAUGGUUACUAUUUCGUGGUCCAGUCUUAUACUAACUCAUUGUAUAGUACCCCUUACUCGCAUGUCAACUGCACGAACACGUUAGAUCAUUGCGUUUGUAUCAAGUACAAAGUGAACCGUAUCUAUAGUGUUACCAGGAUAAGGUAUCCGAACUUAUCCCUAUACUACAAGCUCUUUAAGCUGAUCUCGGCAUUGAUUCAUGUAUAUUGGAUUUAGGUUAUUAAGAAAAAACUAAUAAUCAAUAACACUUAUUGAAAUUAUAAUAACAACACUUUAUUAAUAACGAUCAAUGAAUUAUAUUUACAAUCUACGAGUUUUAGGACAUAAAUCCCAACGAGAAGUAUUUAUAAUACUUUUUCGCUGUACAUUUUUGGAAAAUAGAAAACACAACAAAUAAUAACUAAUUCUAAAACAGAGUUUAUACAUGAUAAUAUCCUCCCUCAAAUUGAUGCACUUUAGACUUAAGGCAUAAAUUUGGAUCAAAGAGUGUUAAAGCGAUCGGUGGUGAGAGGUUUUGUGAAUAUAUAAGCAGGUUGUUUUGUUGAGGGAAUGUACAAUAGUGUAAUGUAAUUUUGGACAACUUUUUCCCUUAUAAAGUGAAAGUCUACUUCCAUGUGUUUGGCUCGACCAUGAAAGACAGGGUUAUGAGCAAGUUGGAUGGCAAACUCUUUGUUACACCAUAAAAAAGGAGGUUCUUUUCUAAAUAUAUGUAAGUCUCGAAGGAGUUGUCAAAUCUAAAAAAACUUAAGAAGUUGUUGUUGCAAGGGCUCUAUACUAAGCUUCUAUUUAACUUUGAGAUACAGUGGACUACUUUUUGGUAGCCAUGAUAUUGGAUUAUCUCCUAGGUAGAUGAUGAAUCUCAUGGUUGAUCUUUUAUUAAAAUUAUUUCUUGUCCAAUCUGAAUUUGAGAAUGCAUUUACUUUGAAUGAAUUUGUGGAUUUCUUGAAGAGUAUGCCUUGUGAAGUGGUUCCACUAAUGUAUCUUAGUACUCUUUUGGCUGUUGUAAGAUGGCAAUAGGUAGGUGAGUGCAUGAACUGUGACAGUUUGCUUACUGAGAAGGUGAGAUAUUGGAGGGCUCCAAAGAUGGUUCUGUAAGUUGUUGCAUUUUCAUUUGAACAUGGAUUGUCUGGUUUGUCAUUAAAGAAAUGUAUAGGAAUUGGAGUAUUACAUGGUUUGCAUCCAUUCAUUCCGACCCUUUUUUAUACAUCCUUAGCAUAUUUUCUUUGUGUGAUAAAGAUAUCAAAUGAGUUCCUCAGGAUUUUGAGCACUAGAAAAUAUUUCAACAUUCCUAAGUUAGUCAUAUCAAACUGCUGCUGCAGCUGAUUUAUUAACACAUCAAUGUAUGGCUAAUCGUUGCCUAUUAUUAUGAUGUCAUCUACAUAAAGUUGGAGAUAAGUAGUAGAUUUUCUAAAUUUUUGAACAAACAAUGAAUUAUCAACUUUUGAAGCAUUAAACCCAAGUGUUAAUAGGUGGGUUGUGAAGCAUUUAAACCAAGCUCGAUGAACUUCUUUGAGGCCAUAUAACGAUUUUUGGAGCUUGCACACUAGGUUUGGUCUUGUUCUGUCAACAAAACCUUGUGGUUGUUGCAUAUAGACUUCUUCAUAGAGUUUUCCAUGUACAAAGGCAUUUUUAACAUCAAGUUGCCUUAGUUUCCAUUCAAAUUGUGCAGCUAAAGAUAGAACUAUCUGGACAGUAGGCUUUUUUACAACUGGGCGAAAUGUCUCUUCAAAAUCUAUUCCCUCUUGUUGGUGGUAUCCCUUGGAAACUAACCUUUCUUUAUGUCUAGCAAUGGAUCCAUCAAAGUUUCUUUUUGUUUAGUCUAGUGAGUUUCCAUGUUCCUUGUUUCAGUAGAGCAUCAUAUUCUUCUUUCAAUUUCAUCAACAUAAUUUUUGGAAAGAUGUGUUGAUGCAACAAAAAAUUUCUUCUUUGAUAUACUAGAUUUGCUUCUGGUUUGCAUUGGAUGGACAUUUAGAUUUGUUCCCAAUGAUACAUUUAUGCCCAUUUCAGUUUCAGUAUCCAGUUCAUUGUUUAGAUAGGACUCAUAUGUUUGUGAAGAAAUAUGAUUGUUGGCAUAGAUGACACAUCACUUUCAUUACUCACACUAGGAAUAGGUGCGAGGUCUUUUAGAAACAAAGAUAAAGGUAUUUGAUGGAAUUUUGUAUGGUUACCUUUUGUGGUGUUGUUUUAUAGGGUUAUUGAGAAGGGAAAGAAAAAACUCAUCAAAGAUAACAUGUCUAGAUAUGAAAAAUUUUCCAAUGGUCAUGUUGUAACACAAGUAACCUUUGUAAUCUAGAGGAUAACCAAGAAAGAUGCAUUGAGAGUUUUUUGGUUGGAGUUUAUGAGAAUUGUAUUGCUUUAGUAAACGGUAGCAGACAUAACAAAUUUUUUUUAGAGGUUUAUAGUCAAAGGGUUGAUUGAAUAGGCAUUCAAAGGGAGUCUUAUUUUGAAGGUUUUGAGAUGGGAGUCUAUUUAUGAGGUAUACAACUAUGGCAAAGGCAAAGGACAAGAAUUUUGUUGGGAAGGAGGCAUAGGUAUUAGGGAGAUGACUACUUCUAUUAUAUGGCGGUGUUUUCUUUUUAUUGCAUCAUUUUGUUGAGGAGUACAGGAACAUGAUUUUUGGUGGGAUAUGCCAUUUGUGGUGAGGAAGGAUGAUAGAUUUUUGUUGAUGAAUUCACCUCCUCCAUUGGAGGGCUCCAAAGAUGGUUCUGUAAGUUGUUGCAUUUUCAUUUGAACAUGGAUUGUCUGGUUUGUCAUUAAAGAAAUGUAUAGGAAUUGGAGUAUUACAUGGUUUGCAUCCAUUCAUUCCGACCCUUUUUUAUACAUCCUUAGCAUAUUUUCUUUGUGUGAUAAAGAUAUCAAAUGAGUUCCUCAGGAUUUUGAGCACUAGAAAAUAUUUCAACAUUCCUAAGUUAGUCAUAUCAAACUGCUGCUGCAGCUGAUUUAUUAACACAUCAAUGUAUGGCUAAUCGUUGCCUAUUAUUAUGAUGUCAUCUACAUAAAGUUGGAGAUAAGUGGUAGAUUUUCUAAAUUUUUGAACAAACAAUGAAUUAUCAACUUUUGAAGCAUUAAAACCAAGUGUUAAUAGGUGGGUUGUGAAGCAUUCAAACCAAGCUCGAUGAACUUCUUUGAGGCCAUAUAACGAUUUUUGGAGCUUGCACACUAGGUUUGGUCUUGUUCUGUCAACAAAACCUUGUGGUUGUUGCAUAUAGACUUCUUCAUAGAGUUUUCCAUGUAUAAAGGCAUUUUUAACAUCAAGUUGCCUUAGUUUCCAUUCAAAUUGUGCAGCUAAAGAUAGAACUAUCUGGGAAUUUUAAAGCAUUGAGCAAAUCACUCAGGAUUAAGUGGUGGGAAAAAUUCAGCUAUUCCCAUCUAGAAGUAAGCAAAAUAAAGGACUGGUUUAAAGCCAACGUCCAUCUGCAAGAUAUGACUAGGCAAGAGGAUGAAGCCUUCCUCCUCACCAAAAAUGUUGUCAUGACAACUCUUGGUGGCAUAAGUACUCAACAGGAAUUCAAUUCCAUCGUCAACAACAUCGUCGUAGACCUCUCAGACGACCACGACGAUUUACUAGAGGACGCUUCUCUAGCCUCUGUUAAUAAUGUCGACAACCUCGAUUAUGACCCAUACGAAGGCCUCGACAUCAACGACCCAUUUUUGAACACACAACCAUACUAAAGUCCAAGAUUGAGGUCCUUCUUUCAAGAGUUUUUAAAUUUAGUCAAAAGUAUUAAUUGUAAUUAAUUGUAAAUUAAUUUGUUUAAAAAAAAUUCUAAAUUUAUUUAGAAAAGAUCAUUGUAUUCCGAUCUUAUCAUUGCUUUUACAGUCUGCUAUUGUAACUGUCCUCAAGAAAGAGUUUGAAAGAGAAGAAGAUAAUGGAGAUGAUUCACUUCUGCAAGAGGAUUAGCCAACCUCAGGCAACAUAGAAAGCGGACGACGCCAACGUAGCACACGUUAUGGAUUAACUUUGAUUGGGAUUAUUUCCAGAAGGAUACAUAAGAUAGAUAUCUGAGAAUGGGGAGGGGACCUGCUCCUAGUGGCAGCGAGGCGGGAGGCCGAAGUAAGAUCGCAGUAGGGAGCUAAAUAAUCCUUAAUGAAAGAUAUCAAUCUUAUGGAUCUUAAUCCGCGUCGAGCCAAGCAGAAGACGAUCGGGUGACGUCAUCAACUUCCCCAACAAGUUUCUACUUGAAGAUAAGGAUGAAUGACAGACAUAUCCCAUCUAUCUUACCGCUUCAUUUCGUUGUGUAUUUACCUUCUUUUUAAAGCAUAUCUUUACUUUUCAAGAGAUAAGAUUUUCAGAAAAGCCAAACAGGGGUCUUGUCCUGUCGGCCACUCUGAAAUCAUAUGUAUUCAAUUAUUGUUGAAGAUCACUGUGUACACAAUAGUGAAAGAGUGAAUCUCUCACUAUAAUAAAGAGCAGCGACCUUCGACCCUCAAUGGCAAUAAAAAAUGUUAUAAAAGAGGUUCUAUAGCUAUUUUAGAUACGUUAUUAAAAGUCUCUUAUUUUUGUUAGCAUUAUUCAUCGGGAUAGAUUUUAGUGUUUUAACUUUUUUAUUUUACAAUUUGUCUUGCAAACAAUAUUUUAAAAUCAAAUUAUAACCAUAUACAUAUGUAUACAAGUCAUUUUCCUAGGCAAAGAGAUGGAAUUCACAUUUCAAUAAAAUCUACAAUAAUAAUUAUAAUGAACAUGUUUAUUUCUAACAUACAAAAAAAAUUAGCAUUAUAUUCAUUCAAAAUGUUUGAUAUAAUCAUCAAAAUUAAGUAUGUUCCAACAAAACUUUCGUAUAAUUCUUUUCCUUCAUCAUGAUGGAUUUAAUCGAAGCUCUAUUCUCUAGCAUUGGAUUUUUCUUUAGAGAGAUUUCAACUAUAUCCAUGAGUUCAAGAUUCUAUUAGUGUUCACCAUCAAGCCCUUCAAUGACAAAUCAUAUAAAUGAUAAACAAAAACAAAAUCAUUGCGUCAAGUCAGGAUUCAGAACAAGCAAUAGACAAUCUGAUCCAUGAAUGACUAGACUAGUAUCCUAAACAACAAAAAACACCAUCGUAUUUCACCUAAAAGAAACAAUACAAAACAAGCACCUUUAGGAAAACUCACAAGCAUUAUAUAUUCUCACGAAAAAGACGUGUUUAUGCAAAAAUCAGAAUAACUACAAUACCCAAGCUGAAUGGCGUUGGAGUUGGAUGACCUAAAUUGGUUUUUGUCAAUUAGUGAGAAAAAAUAUGUUCAAAUAAUCCCCAUUACACAUACACCAUUCUUGCUUUCUUUCCUAGCAAUGGUCUCAAGAACCAACUCGGCUUGAAUCCCUUUUUCACAUUGAAGCAAAAUUAUAAUAAAUCCUGUUGAUUUUAUGGAAUCAAUCUAUAUUUCAUUAAUUACUUAAUAGAGAUACAAGCCUAUAUAUAACCAUAGAGAAAUACACUUAAGGAAAUAAUAUCAAAUAAUAUCUCCAGAAUAAUAUCUCCAGAAUAAUAUCUCCUAAGAAUAAUAUCUCCUAAGAAUAAUAUCUCCUAAGAAUAAUCUAAUUAUAUUAAUACCCUCCCUCAAACUCAAGGUUGAAAUCACAAACUUGAGUUUGCUAAGAACUAAGAAAAGAAACAAUAUAUCUAGAAUAGAAUAAAAAACCCGAAGAACAAACACACAAAGAACUUCUAGGCUAAAACAAACCCACGAAGAGCGAAACGAAGAACUUCUGGGAUAGAAACAUAGAUCCUCGUAUAGAGAUCUAUAACAGAACCUAGGAAGAACGAAACAAGAACUCCGGGGGCAAAAUGAAAGAGCAAAACUGAAGCAAAGUAGAACAAAUCAGGAUGAAAACGUGGUCUGAAUUGGGCAGGAGCGUUUCGUCAUCAGAAUGGAACUGAACGAACUAAACUAAAGCAAGUCAGAAUCAAACUGAACAGGAAAUCUGGGUGAACAGAACGAAAACUGAAGAGAGCUGAGAGGUUGAGUAGAUAGAGAGCUUUGUGGCGUUCUUCGCAAAAAGAGAAGAUGCGUUUCAUGACGGCGAGCUUCACAAAUGGAGAGCGGACAAAGCCGAACCUGUGCGUCGUCGGCUGUGAGUGGAGCGGAGCGGUGGAUCAUGGAUCUGAACAAAGAUUCACCCUCUUCAGGAUCGGGAGUCUUCAAUCUAAAGAGAUUGUCUGGUACGAGUAAAGGGCGGCGGCGGCAGGUCGGUCUGAUCUUGAACAGUAUGAUUCGAAGGCGAAAGAUGAAAUAAAACACGGAUCUGGAAGUCGAAGACACGAACAGAGAUGCACGAACAAAUCGGUGCUUGCAAUGUGCGCACAAGUAGAUCUAAGUGAGGACGAAUGGAGAGCGGAUAUGGGUCGAGAGUGCGACGAACUGUGUGGAUGGAAGGAGCAGUGAUGGCGGAAGGAGCAGUGAUGGCAGAAGGAGUAGUGGCGGCGGCGGCAGAAUCAGAGACGAGGAUUUUGAUCUAGGAGGCAGAGCGAAUUACUUGGAGACAUGAUGUGUAUUGAUUACUGAUGGGUAUGGCUCUGCCUCCGUCGACGAAUCAACGGAGGCAGACGUGCAGGGAUGUGACGGCUAGAAUACAAGGAGACUUAAAAUCCUAUAGCUCUGAUACCAUGUUGAUUUUAUGGAAUCAAUCUAUAUUUCAUUAAUUACUUAAUAGAGAUACAAGCCUAUAUAUAACCAUAGAGAAAUACACUUAAGGAAAUAAUAUCAAAUAAUAUCUCCAGAAUAAUAUCUCCAGAAUAAUAUCUCCUAAGAAUAAUAUCUCUUAAGAAUAAUCUAAUUAUAUUAAUACAAGUCCAAUAUAAUCAGAAUUACAAAGAAGAGGUUAGAUUGUCCAAGAUCCAAAACAUUAUAAAAAACUCUUGUCAGAAUUAGUUGGUGCAACAAAAUUGAUAAAUACAUUAUUAUGAGUCUCAUUUUGAUUUAAUAUGAAAUGUUUAAACAACGUGCAGUUACAUAGAGCACAAGAUGUACAACAAGAAUUACUCUAGUUUAGAAUUAGUAGGCAUUGGAAGGAAAGAAAAGAGACAGCAAAUCCACAUACCAGAGUUAAGAAGAAUCUGGAAGACCUCUUGGUGGCCACCCUCAAGAGCAAUCUAGAAUACAUCAUCACAAAAUUGUCUUAUAUGUCAAGGAAGAAAGCAACAUCCAAGACAGUAGUGAAAAUAAUAGUGCAGUGUGUACAAAGUAAUUUGGUAUGCUAGCAAGAUGACCACCACUCUGAAAUUAUUUUGAUUCCUCUAUUUGUUAUAUUUCUGUUAUUUGUGGCAGAUUAUGUACCUGUAAAAAUGUGACAUGUGUCUUUCUGUUUUACAUCUUCUUCUCAUUAUUUUACCCUAAUUACACAGGGUAUCUGCUGUAUAAAUAUAGACCAAAAGGUCUCUCAAAAUAGCAGUGAAUACAUACAGAAAAUAUUCCCACAAGUUCUUUAUUCUUCAAUUUAUAAGUUUCAGUUUAGGUAUAUUAACAGCAAAACUGUUAGAUUCUUGAAGGAAUAAUUCGACAGUCUGCAGGACAUAAUGAACAUAUAAAUCUAGAAAUCUACAAAGUUCAGAAUGCGGCAUUUUGCAGAUGAUUAUCUUAAUAGGCAUUAAGCAUGAUAAAUUUAGGCUUCCUUUCAUAUAUAAAAAAUAUGACAUAAUAAAAUGUUGGAGGGAGUCAGACUAUUUGAGGGAAACAAACUAAAUAUGAAACUAGUGAAAAAGCUUCUGCCAAUGUUUAAUUGAAGGGGCACUUUCAUGUAUACUUGUAGGAAAGUAUCCUCAAAGAGUACUGCAAGAACACUUAAUAAUGGUUUCAAAUUCAAUAGUCGGUGAUAAUCAGCUUUAUUUUCUUUUAUUUUAGUUUGGUUUUUGGGUGAGGUUGUUCUAGCCAUGAAUUGAAGGAAAUGCAAAAUAUAGCCAUCUGAAUAAACGGUAGAAGCACAUCAACAAAUGUUGUGGGGGUUAAAAAUCAACAUUUAAAGAAUACUUUUCUCUUUCUACCAAUCUUCAAAGAAAGUUUGACAAGCCUUUCAUGCCAUGAGACAAAAAAAGCAAGAAAAUAAAUUAUACACACACAUAAAGGCAGAAAUAAAUUAGUAACAAAAUAAUUUGAGACUGGCAGAUAGGGCCUCCAUCAAAGACCAUCAUGGGGCAUUCUUAUCAUUAAAGAGCACACACUAUACAUUGAUAUUGUCCUGGACAAAGCAAGUGGUCAAACAUUGUUUAUUAAGCAUUUUAAUAUUGCUAAAAAUGGUUUUGUAUGAAACAAACAUGAUGGGAAAAAUGGCGUCUCUUCGCGCACACUGCCCCAUAACCCAAUGAAAAACUACAGAAUACCGAUCCAAAUCUCUAACCCGAUGAAAAUUUUUCCUAACCAAUUUGCUAGACCCACAAUCCCAAUCUUCUUCAAACACAAUGAAAAAAGAGGAAAAUUGAGGAAGUACUAACCGACAUCGCUGGAAAUGAGGAAGAUAAAAUCGCCAAAAUGAAGAAGGAAUUGACCGACGAUCUCCAAAAAACCAAAACUUGUUAUUCAAUAAAUAUAUGAUAAGGGAAUCAACCAUGGAAAAUGGAAAAAGAAAAGAAGGGUUUUGAAAUGAAAGAGAGAGUGAUGAAGUUGAAGAAGGGUCUGAUAUGUUUAAUGGCAAGCGAGGGAAAGGGUUUUAAUGCGUGAGAGAGGGGGAUUUAAAUGGAUGAAUAAUUGUUAUUCAAUAAAUAUAUGAUAAGGUGCCAGACCAAAAAUUCCACUCCCCCCUCUUUUUUUUUGUCAUCCUUACGCCUUUUUUCUAUUCUUUUUAUAGCGAUUUUAAUAAAAUGAUAUGCUUUCAUGUUAUUAAAAGUGACUUUUGUUGGAGUGAUUUGCGCCUUUUUCUAUUUGCGAAUUCUUUCAAAAGAUUUUUUCAUUCUAUUUGGUUUCCACAAAUCAAUUUUAUCCUAGAGAAUAGAAUCGUCUUUGACCGGUGGUGUCUCCAAUUUGAAGUUUUAGUAGAUUCAGCGGUGUCAAACUACGUUAGUUUUUUUUUUCUCUAAUCUAUAAUUUUAAAGUAUGUUUAGCCUCAAUUAGAAAAUUGUUCAUGUAAUUAUUGUCAAUAUACGAUAUUUUAAGUUUUCAAUUAAAUUGACGUAAGGUCUUUGUAAAAUAUUCCACUGCAAAGAGCUUUCAUCCCUUCACUUCUAAUUACUAUCCGUUAAAUCAAUGAGAAAACACCUUAGUUAUUAACCAUUGGACAUUAGUUUUGACUGCUAUCUUUAGCAAGGCUUCUUCUGGACUAAGGCAGCUGGGAUUUUUGGUAAUGAGUUACCGUUUGAAAUAUGAUGGUGAUGGAGUUGCUAAGUCUCUCCAUUCUCUCUCUUUUUCCUUCUUCCCGUUUGAAGGGUGAGGUGACUUGAAAUGUUAGAGGGUUCAUAUAUAAUCCAACAUGCUUAAUUUAGUGACUCGUUCCUUAUAUCAUCUUCUUAUGUUUUUUAGAGUGGGAGUUGUGACUUUGGUGUUAUUCCAUGUUGUUGGAGUUGAUAAGAAUGGUUUUAGUGAUCACUCUAUCUUGUGUUGAUGCAUUGAUGGCUAUAAUAAAAAUAAAAAUAAAAGUGGAAGAAGUAAAGGUUGAGAAACUUGCAUUCAAAUACCCUUAAAAGAAUUGAAAAGUGAUCAAAAUAUGUAAUUUGGAGCUUUUAAUUUCAUUGACUUUCAUUUCACAAUAAAUAAAUAAAUUGCAAUUUGUUUAAGAAAAAGAGAGAAAUAUCUGUUUAGAGAAAAACAAUUAAAUAAAUAGCCAGGGCCACGACGUCGUUUACUAGGUCAAAGUAUUUCAUCCCACUGUUUCGUUUUGUGGAAGAGAGGACAGUUACGUAGCCAUCACAAACGACUAGUCAGAUAACUAUAAACAAAAAUCAUCACAACACAAACAACGUAUCUCAUACUGAAAUUGAUUUCCAAAAUCUGAAACCAGACAACAACAUUUGAUUUUGAUUCAGAGCUUGAAGAAGCUCACACCAUGAAAUCUAUCUUCCUUCUCUUUCUCUUCUCAGCCCUCCUUUCCCUUUCCACUCAAUCCAUUGACUCCAAAAACCUAAACAUUCCACCUUCCUCUGCUCAUGCUCGCCUCGCCGAUUACGGAUUCCCCUUCGGCCUUCUCCCCUCCGCCGUCUCCUCCUACACCAUUAACGAUACCUCUGGUGACUUCUCUUUGGACCUCGGUGAUUCCUGCAAGUUCACACUUCCUCCAGACAACUACGUGGCUUCCUUUUCUAGGGUUGUCACUGGUAAGAUUGCCAAGGGUCGGAUCCACAAUCUUGAUGGCAUUCGUGUUCGGGCUUUAUUCCAGUGGUGGUCGAUUACUGGUAUUAGGUCCACCGGCGAGGAUUUGGUUUUCGAGGUUGGGUUGAUCACUGCGAAGUACCCCUCCAAGAGUUUCAACGAGAGCCCAGUGUGUGAAGGCCGUCGGUCUUCUUCGUAAGAGGUUCGGGUUUCUGCUAUUUAUUUUACCGUUAAUUCCAUUGUUAGGAUUGAAAUUUGAGAAGUAAUUUUGGGUUUUGUUGUUACAAGUGAAGUAGACUUUUUACCUAACUCGAUAAGCACUUUGUGAUUGUGGGGUUGAGAGUAAUGUUUUCAGUCUUUGCAUUGGUGAGAAUCUGUAGGAAUAGGUCACUGUUGGCUUAAAUUUUCUAAUGUUUUUCUUUUUAAAUUGAUUGGAUUCUUGUUAUCUUCAAUAUCCAUGAAUUUUGAACAGAUGCUGUAUACUUUCUCCAUAUUCAUACUGUGCCUAAUUUCAGGUUCUCUUGAUUAUACCUUGAUUAAUUUGAGAUGUUAAAUAAGGUAUCUUUUUCUGUUUAAUUUGAUUAUACCCUGAUUAAUUUGAGAUGUUAAAACUUCCAGCAUUUAUUAUGAUACGAGAAAAUUAUAGUUUCCCGACGUUGCAAGAGGGAAUUUAUCUUUGUGCAAUAUCUGUUGGAUCACCUUGUAUACAUAUUAUAUUAUUAACUAUCGGCAGCUGGCUAGUUUUGGCAAUAGUUCAAGGGAUAAGGUUACUGGCUGGCCUUUGUUAAAUCAGCCUCAUUGAUGAAUGAGAUCUUUUUCUUUUUUUGGAUUUAACAACUGGGUGUUCUAAGGUUAAAAAUGUAUGACGUUGUAAUUUGGAUCCAUCAAAGACUAUAACUACUACAAGACUUAAAAGGAGGGAGUUUAAUAAGAACAUAAGCCAUUAAGGACAAUCAUACGAUGACAAAACCCGUUUUAUUUAAAGAUAUUAAAACAUAUUUCUGGUGUUUUAACUUAAUUUGUUGAACACUAGGCCAAUAAAUAUAUCCAACCCAGCAGGCUAGCUAGCAAAAUCCAUUUUUUAUUGUGUAGCUUUUAUUAGGGAAAUUGUGCAACCUAUUCUUAAAGUACGAGGUGUUACAAUUACACCUCUAAAUACUUUUUACUAUGCAGUAUCUAAGGGAGAUGAUUUAUCGAAUUAAAACUUUAGGAGUAAUUGUAACAAACCUCACACUUUAGGGAUCAUUUGUGCAAUUUUCCUAUUUAUUAUUAUGAAUAGCAUCUUUUCACCUCAGCUGUGAAUUUCGAACGACAGUUUCUUGCUCUAAGCUGGAAUAAUCGAGGAAAUACAGACAUAGGGGAAAAAAGGAGGUAGUGAUUCAGAGAGAGAGAUCAAAUAGACAGUUGAAAUUUGAAGUCUUGAUGAUGACAAUAAAUUUAGUGGUUAGAAAAAGAAACAAAUGAAAGCAUCUGAAGAACCAUCCCAAAGGCUGAACCAUUUAAUGGUCAGAUUCAUGAAGUUUUGUUUCCAUGCUACUGUCUUACAUUCCCAAAAUCAAAAUUCAUAUGUUAGGGACACAAGGGUUCAAGUCCAUCGGUAUUAAAAAUAUCAUUUUCCUCUUCAUUUCCGCAAAAGCAACCUUGUACUUUGUUGUGAUGGUUUUCUGGGGCCAAGAUCAACCAUCUGAAAAUGUCAUUUUUAAAGAUUGAAGUACAGAUUCUGACUGGAAGCUGGACCAAGUAGGGUAAGAUUAAGAUGUAGAUUCUUCAUCAUAUAUAAAGUUGAAAGAAGCAACAGCAACAAUCUACAUCUCAUUAUACUUUCUGUCCACUACAGAAAUUGCCAACUUUACAUUUCCUCUUUUUUCUCUUCUUACAUCUCCUCGACCCUCAUUUUUCUCCCUGGUCACAAGAUCUUUGAUAGAAUUAAGAAAACGGGAGCAACUUUAAUUUCCUUGCAUCGCGGGCGCAUAACAUGGAUGCUAUCUGAAUGUACAUUGUCAUUCUCAGGUUCUAGAAAAGUUAUAUUGUAACCUCCAUUAUGUAUUUUCGUAAAGAUUUAUUUAGCUGGAUUUGUGGUUCUUUUAGUGUGUUUGGGAGGCAAUGCUGUGAUCUCAAGCUAUCUUCAACUUCGUUAUUGCUCAUAAAGAAAUGAGUGAAUUCUCAUUUGUCUGGUUUUUUAUUUCUAUGCAAAAAAAAAGUAGAUUCCUCCACUUUGUAUCUUUUGCUUUUAGAUAUUUUUAUAGAUUGACUUAUUAAAGUGCAGAGCAUAUAAUAUCUUGUAUAUCUGAAUCAUACAAAUUGCAUAUGAUCUCAUAUUUAAUUGGUACUUUGUUUGUGUACUGCAGGGGCAUUCAUUUACUUCAAGGAUAGAUGAACUUAUUGGAUAAUGCAUAUCAUUUUAUGCUGGUUCUUUAAAAUGAAAUGUAAACCUUCUACAUAUGCUGGCUGUGUGAUGAACUAUAUAAUUUGUAAUUUGUAUAUAUUUUAGUCCUGCGAAUUCAAACACUUGCUACUUAUAGUUCUGGAUUAAUACUCUUUUAACUAAUAAGGUUAGUAUUUGGUUACGAGCUGAUAUGUAGUUGUUCUAUACCCUUUUAUUUUUUAUUUGGUUUCUUCUGUUGGUUUGGUGAGGGGUGAUGACUUGCAAAUUCCGCUGUCGGUUGUCUCGUCUUUUGAGCUGCUUUUCUCACAUGAUUAUACUUUCAAUUGAAUUUUAAUGACUAAGUUGUUGAUUUGAAUAAUAAGGGUCAAACUAUCGACUUUGGCUUUUAUGAUUCCAAAUCAAAAGUUGAACUUUCAUCAAAGCUAAAUUACAAAAAGUGCUUCUGAAUUUGGGCUUUUGUUUAAAAAAAUGUUCUCAUACUUUUAAAACUUGUAAUUUAUAUCUGGCCAACCAUAAAUGCUUCAAAAAUAAACUACUACUCUCUUGAAAUAGUUUUUUUUUUUUUUUUAAUGAAAAUUCUAAUAAAUUUCUACUUCAAAUGUAGUUUUGAUGUAUUUACGAAAAUUAUAGGGCAAUUUUGCAACAUUAGAAAGAAAAAGAAAAUAAAUAAAGGGACCGGUGUUUUUCUUUCAUUAAAAGAAGAAAAAGAAAAUGUCUGUAAGAUUGUAUUUUCUAUGUGAAAAUAUAUUUGCAUUUCUUUUAAGAAAACUUGACUGAUGAUAUUAACUUGUUCCCUUUUUCGUAGGAGUUUGAAUUGAGCUUAUGUUGUUGAUAUGUGAUUUUGAAUGUGAUAUGUGAUUUUGAAUGUGGUGUUUUUAUUCUUUCUAUUUUAUCUUAAAAAGCUAUUAAUAGGUAAUUAAAACGAAUCUUGUCUUACAAAAUUUAGAGAUUAAAAUUUGACUAUACAUACGAUAAUAACAUGUGUGCUUAUUUUAUGCAAUAUACUCGUUCAUAUUGUUAAAUAUACUAUAACCAUUGAAAAGAAAAAAAAAGUAACUUUUCAAAGAAGAAAGUAUUUAAUUAUAAUAAUAACAAUAUAUAGUAAGUCACAUGGAUCGGCAAUUUAGCUACAAUUUUAAUCAAGUACAUAACCAUUAUGGAUUGAUGUUAAUUUGAGCAUAACAUACUAAUAAAACAUUAAUAUUUUUCUUGUAAGUCAAAAUCUAAUUUGUUAUAAAUUGAAUAUCCAGAACUUCACAUCCACAUCUACUUUAUUCACUUUAUUCAGAUGUUAUAUUCCCAUAAAAAGAAGAAGAAAAACAAGUAAUUCACAGAUAAAUAAUGUCUAUGGUCACAAUUAUAAUCAUGAAUAUUCCAAUUUCACUCCACCACAUUCAUCCUUAUAUUUAACCCUUUAAACUUUGUACACACUCAUCAAAUUUUGUUUUGAAGAAUCAUGAAAAGUAAAAUUGAAAUAAUCUAUGAGAAUAUAAGCCUUAUGCAUAUUGGUCGACAUGUCGUCGUCUUUCAACUAACAUCAUGAUCAUACUUAUUUUUAUAUAGUUCCAAACUCUCGACAUGUCGACAUGCACUUUCUUGAACCGCCAAAACUUUUCUCGACAUGAAACCAAGUGGAAGGAGAAGGGGCAAUUUUUCUACAUCAUUCAUUGCUUGCUUGCCAUAUCCAAAAUGUUUAAGAGUUGUGUCAAACUUUUGGUAACUAAAAUGGUAUUAAAAAAAAGUACAUUAUGUUAGUUUCUCCUCUUUAAGUUUAGUUUUGAUCAUCUAGGUUUUACAAACGUCUUUUUACUGGGUUUAGAUUAUUUUGGUGAGUUUUUAUUUAUCUUUUUUUAGUUGUACAAAAUAAAACACAGACAAAAGAACUAAAGGCUUUGUGUAUCCCUUGAAGUAGCUGAGUAGACCUAUGAUGGAUAGUCAGAUGCAGGUAUCAUAUUCUUUUGAUUUACAUAUAAAAAACUGAAUUAUGUUAAUUAUUGCGUUAUUUUGAGUGAAAGACCAUCAACAAAACCAUGAAUCUAAUUGUCAUAUAUUUUCAUGAACUGCCAAAAAUUUUCUUAAAUGAAAUCGAGUGAAAAAAUGAGAGUAGAAACAAAAUUCUUAUACUAUAUAUCUUCCUUCCUUAAUUAAUUUUAAUGGACUAUGAUAGUGAAAAAAAGAAGAAGUGAAAACUAUUUUAAUUGUAAUUAAUUUAAUUCUUUUUAAAAUCAAUUAACACUAUAAUUCAAACACCAAAUUUAAAUUUAGUUAAAAGUCAAAAAGAGUAACUAUCUAUAUAUUAAACAUGAAAAUAAAACCCAAAAUAAAAACAAACAAACAAAAAAAAGUAAAAAUAAAACAGUUUGAAAAAAUAUAUAUAAAAAAAACUAAAAAUAAAAAUUAGAGGCCUAAAAAACAUUUUCAAACCAAAUUGUUGUAAAUGACAAAACUACUUAAAAAUUUAUAAAUAUAACAAAAUUUUAUAAUCUAUUAGUGGUAGACUGAUGUUUUUAUCUAUUAACAAUCAUAUAAUAGACUAUCGAAGUUCCAUAUUGUUUUAAUUAAGAAUAAAAUUUUGUUGUAUUUAUAAAUGUUUUGAUUCAUUAUAUCAUAUUUAAAAGUAAUCAUUUUAAAAUAUAACCAAACACAUAACAGAUACCUUAUUAUGGGACAAUGUGUAAAAUGGAUAUGGAUAGUAUGAUUACAUAACUAUAAAUUUUUGUAAAAGAAAUUGCCAAAAAAGCAAUAAUCACCAUUUGUCGUAUAAUUUGCUCCACAUUUUGAUUUACCAAAAACCAGAG